UUCUGCCAAAAUUAACAUGUUUGUUGUCUUGAGGUCUCUGUGGAUGAUGGGCGGCUUGCAACCAUUAUGCGGACAAUCCAAACCUGCAAUAUCUGCAAAAUCUCCGUUAACUAUGCAGAUAAUUGCUUGCUAUAUUUGAAUAAUCUGGACCUCUGCGUCUCUUCUUUAGAUUCCCCAAAUGUUACCAAUGAGUACUGCAUCACAACUUUUGAAGUUCGCCAAGCAGACUUUCAAGGUAAAUUUCCCUAAGAUAACGGCUUUACUAUCUGUUUAUCAUGCGUAUGGCUGCAAUUCUUGUCUGUAUAUUCUCUCGCUUUCUUGUAGGAUCACCUUGUGACUUGCGAGAACUUACAAGGAAAACAUGGUUUCAAGGGACACAGUGGACUCUCGUGAAGGUAAAAACAGACUAGUUGCCACCUUGUCUUUCUUAAUGAAACUAUCCUAGAAAUGUCAUCAAACAUCUAUCGACAAGAAGCAGAAGAAGAAGUCACCCCUGAUCUGUUUCCUUUCGAUCAACCAAAUUGUAGCCAGAGCACACAAGAGCACUGUAGAAGGCUGAAACUGAUGCAAUGACCGGAUGGAGAUGGGAUUUUCAUUCUUCUGUAGGCAACGAUCUGGCAGGCCAAGAUCUGGGUUGCCGUUCUAGCUUAAAAAAAAAAAAAAAGGUAAGUAGCUGGACUUAAAGUGCUCUGGUAGCUUUUUGCAGACAUGUUCAUCGCAAUAAAACAUGCGGAUGAUUUUUCCCCUCUAAAUAAAGCUAUGAAAGAAAGAGCAGAAGAACAAGCCUCAAGUUCAAAGUCUAGUCCGGUAACCCUUUUCAUGAGAAGAUAAAUGGAUACACUCACACAUCAGUAUGAGCUAUACUGAUGCCUGGAAUUGAGGUAUGAGUUAACUAAAGCUAAUUAAUUGAAACAGCUAAUGAAAAGCUUUACUUUUUUCGGCUCAUCUGCCUAAAUUAUUCAUUACUGAAAAUUUGAUCCAGUGUUAAGGGAAUGAUAAUUUAUUGGCUUCCUGUUUCGUUCGUAGUUUCAUGCUCUUUUUUUUAUUUUCUUGAUCCAAUAUUGACUAUAGCGGCUUGUGGAACAUAUAUAACCAGUCGCGAGCAAACCGAUCUUAGGAAGUUAUGCCCUGAUUAAAUUCAUCUCUCUAGUUCAAGACUUAUAAAGAUCCAAGUCAAUCUCGAUAAUAUAAUCUAAAGAAGUUGCGCGUCGGCUUGGCUUGACUAAUAAAAUGGAAGAAUUUUUGGCGCUAGCAUUAAGCUUUUGUGUUCAUUGCUUUCGUUGUCUGACUGAAAAAAGGGUCUGCCAAAUCCCCCGACGAAAACGGAAAUAAUUUUCUUUUAAACGGAGGAUCUGUUUUCACAAAAUCUUGCACGCCCUCCGCAUUAAUUUCUGCAAAAGACAAAAAAAAAGGAGUUUCAAGAAAAUAGUACGUAAGAAACUCUACGAGUAAAAACCGCCACGACCUCAAUCAAUUUGAUAAGCAGUUUCAAGAACAAAACUCGGGGUGAAAAAUGGGUUAUGGACCUGUUUUUGGACUCGUAUUUUAUUUAUAUGGAUUGCAUAUAGGUCAAAUAUUUUUUAAGACCUAACUAAAACUAGGUCUAAAAAGUGAGUCUAAUUUAAACGAGUCAAAAAUGGAUCAAAACUUAUGACCCAUUUUUGACCCAUUUAAAUUUUUAAGCGACCCACUAAACAAAAGUGCAGGGGAGAUGACAACCUAUUUUUGUCAUGCCCUAAUCCUCGAGCGCGCACCCAUCCCUCACUGGUCAAUUAAAAAGCGACGUCCCUGGACGCAUCGCCAACCCAUUCUUUUUAACAUGCAUAAGGAAGCAUAUAAAUAAUCCCUAGACAAUAAAACAAUGGGAUAGGGAAGAGGGCCAAUUUUUCACAAAAUACCUUUUUAUAAACACACAAAUCUAUACACAAAGGUUUACAAAAGGGAUCGGCUCCCAACAAAAGAGAAUUGUCCUACGACUAGCUAGUCGGACAAGAUCGCCGAUUCUUUAGGCUUCACCUCCUAAACUCCGGUGCUUCUGGUCCUCCACCAACACCAUCUAAGGACCUGAAAAUGGUUAUACAAUAACCAAUGAGACAAAGUCUCAGCAAGUUCAACUCCCUAAGACUCAAUUAGGAAGAAAAUACGCUUUAAGGGCUGCCUAAGCACAACCAUGAGUUGGAGGUCUUACCUUUGCCUCUAUUCCUUCCUACAAGUCAGUUCAAUUCAUAAACUCGCAAUCAUGACACUCAAUCAAUUCGGAUCGACUCAUCAAUCAAUCGACCUAGUCGAUUACUUGUCAAUCAAAUCAUUCCUCGGUCAUUCCAGUCAAUAUUAUCUAUUCUCCAAGAUGACAUAUCAAGUCAUUGAGCUAGUAUAAUAUAGUGUCUUUCUCCGAAAUGACAUACCGAGUCACCGAGCCGACAUAAUAUACUAUUCAUUCUCCAAGAUGACAUAUCAAGUCACCGAGCCGGUAUAAUAUAAUGUCUUUCUCUAAGAUGACAUAUCAAGUCAUCGAGCCAACAUAGUAUAAUGUCUUUCUCCGAGAUGACAUACCGAGUCAUCAAGCCGACAUAAUAUAUGCCUUUCUCCAAUAUGAUAUACCAAGUCAUCGAGCCAAAGUUCGUUCUCUAACAAUUUCUCACUUUUUAUCAUACUCGAUGAACUAGCCGUGUGUGGGUACACGAUUGACCUUAGCCAAAAUAUAAUAAUUUCCUUGCCAUGAAUCGCACCAUUUUCUAUAGUCCACCAAAAUUUUUUUAGCGUUUUAAACCGACGCUCAGUUAUUUUCUAAACAAUUACCAAAAUUGAUUAAAUUAGGAAUAAAAUCCUAAAAUCACAAUUAAAUCAAUUCGACACAAAUUAGAACUCAAUUAAAUAAAGGAACCACACCACAAUAAUCAACAUAAAAUUUCGGUCAUCCGCUAUCCCAGUCUAAUUUUCGAAAAAUAAAUAAAUAAAUAAUUAAUUAAUUACAUAAAAUAUUAAAUAAAUGCUAAUAAAUCAACUUAGGCUCGGAAAAGCCUAAUUGAACACCGAAAUGGACCCGAAAAAUUUCUGAGUCACUCUAGAUAAAUACUAGAGCUCGUCUAGGCUCUAAUUUUACUAACCAACCACCUAACAUGCAUCGGCAGAUAAUUAAAUUAACUAAUCUAAUCUAAUCUAUUCACAUUAAACCGUGCUUAAUUUAAUCUAAUUAACCAUUAAGCAUCGUUAACCUACUAAGUGGGGAUUAGUGAGUUAAACUCACUUGUUUUGCGAUCCAAUCGGCUCAAAUUGACGGAGACGUGACGGGGCUCACUUCUCUCCAAAGCGGGCCCAACUUUUAGGGUCGGGAGAGCCCUCAAAACGGGCCAAACAGUGCCUUGAAUACCCACUGUUCUUCGGUUCUGAGCUGUGGAGAUCAGGGCUGCUUCGGUGGCUGAUUGGGGGAGACAAAGCUAACAGUGGACGGGCGGAGCUGCAUCGGCCUAGGCAGGGCUGACCGGCGGCGAUAUGGCAGUGCAUGGGCUCCGGCUAAGCUUGACCAGACUUGAGGAACACCGACUAGGUUGCACGGCGAACAGAAACAACAUGCAACGGUGGCGACUCCAGCUAUGGCGUGCGAUGGUUCUGCCUGAGCUGCUAGCUUCUCCGGUGACUUUUCUGGACUGUUGGAACGUCAAGUAGCAAGAAGAGAGGAGGGGGAAGGAGUGUCAAUGGGCUGAGGGGGAGAAGAAGGAGAGAGGAGGCAAGGGGGGGCCACCUGGUCACUUUUUCUCUCCAAAUGUCUCCUUGACCAAUCCUUCUUUCAUGGCUGGCUUCCACAACACAAUUGCAGUAUCCUUGGCUUCCUCAAGAAGUCUUGAAAGGGUCCAAAAGGUUGGGUCCAUGGGGUGCUAUGAAUUUGCAAGGAUUUCCCCUCCAAUUGAACUCCAUUCUUUCUUAAUCCAUCACAAACCGGCCUAUAUAAAUCAACCGACGCCUCAUUGAUCCAAUUGUUAUUUUUCCUCACCAAUUAGUCUCACUUGUUUCCCAAUUUUGCGAUAAAAAACGAUCCCUGACUUUUUUUGGACAAAAACGGCCUAGGACGACUUUUUCCCAAAAAGUCUCAAUUUGCAGAAAAAUAUUCUGAGACUGAGUUGACGCUCCUAUAAUUAAUUGUGACAUGAAAAAAAUUUUAAUUUCUGAAAUCGGACUCAAAUUUACAGUUAAUUUUCAUUCGGCACGAUUUUAGCAUGAUCUAAGCUAUCGGGUAACUUUCAGAAUUUUUUAAUGCAAAUGACCUAUGGUCGAUUUUCUUCGAGCCACAAUAAACUCACUGAACACAUUUGCGACUCUCGGUUGUCAUGAAAUUCUCGAGGAUUUAAAUAUGGACACAGGAUACCAAAACGAUAGAAAAAUCAGUCUAGUAUCAGCCGACGAGAAUUUUCCAAUUUAGUGGUGUCACCCACGAUUAGCCACACAUCUCAGUCCAACCGACCUAUCUCUGAUCUCAAAUCGAUUUGUAACUGUGCCAUAAUGGCCUCCAAAGAUGAGCACGGUUGAGAAGCCAAUUCCUACUCGAAUUCUCAAGUCUAUUUGCCUUAAAAUCCUUAAUGGCUUCCUCAAAUAGUCUAGUUAUCUCGAGAGUGAUCAGCUCUGAGAACAGCCCUAUAAACACGUCAAUGAAACAUCUGAUUUAUUCAAUAGAAAAUAGAAUUGAAAAUCUGGGAUAUCACAAUUUUCUAUCAUCCCUGUCGAUGACUAAAAGACGAAUGCGAAAGAGACGGCUAGGAUUUGCAGAUUUUGCGGUCAACAUUUUAGCCACUGCUAGCGUGACGACACCUGGGACGGUUUCGGAGGAGGGAUGGAAUCGCGAACUGUCCGUUUGACCGAGAAUGGGUGGCUCUUCUGUCCCGUCCUCCGCCCCCGCGAGCGCACUCCAUCGUCGUUCCAUCCCAUCCCCCGUCGAGUUUAGCAGAGCGCGCCCAGAGCACCAAACUGCCGCGCGAUUUCAAAGCUGAUAGAAGUCAGAAGUUCGCUUCUUUGACUCGAUUCGCGUUGCAUGGAUCAUCGUUCUCCUUACACGUUUCGAUGAAAGAACUUCAACAUUAUUACUGUAUAAUUUUAGGAAGAUGUUUUCAUGGUCUUUUAUUAUUAAAUUAGAAACAAGAAAAAACUUGCGUAUCAUAACGAAGACUAGAUAAAUUACAAGAUGUUAUAUGAAAAUCGCUAUCUUGUGUAAUUACGUAAUUUUGUCAUUGAUUCGUGCUAUCUAAAAUAUCACGGUACUUUUAUCCCUCCUUAUGUGAACAUGGAAUGAACUGGAUGCAAUCAUGGCAUAUACACAAUGCUCGACAUGUGUUAAGAUAAUCCUAGACUUGUAGGAGCAAGAGGUUUAUUCUGAAAUGAAGGGGGUGACUGGCUUGACUAUAUUGCAAAGGAAUAUUACAAUAUGAGUUGUCCACAUUAGCAAUGACAGUCUACGUCAGUGAUUUCCAACCAAAAUUGUGAUUUCCAAUCAAAAUUGAUCAGAUAGUCUCAAUUAGCAAAAUAUGAAAAUGUUUAGACUCAAUUAAGAAAAUUGAAAGAUUUGCAAUAUAUUGAGAACUUUUUGGACAAUUUUUGCAUGAAUUCCUUUGUAAGAUAGGGUGAUUAAAUUUAAUGAGGAAUCGUGAGGACCAAACAAUGCAAUUGGGGACUGAAAAUACUAAGGUCGUUUGACUGAUUUAAAUAUCAUUUCAAUGUCCAUUUUAUUGCUCAAUCAAUAGUAGAAUCAUGUAGUACCCUUCUCAUGGAAUUAGUCACACUAAUCGAAUCACUUAAUUCGGGUGUUCUAUAUUUUCUUUUGUUUUGUUUAUUUUAUUAUUCGAUCACCGAAGCACAUUUGCCGUAACCAAUGGUUAACGUAGAACCAAUUUCUGGAACCAAUCUGUAUUAAAGUAACAUUUGUACUCUCGAACGUGAAAUGAACCAAGCUGUUGUCUGGUCAAUGACGACCGUCGUGAAAUGAACCAAGCUGUGUGUCGCACACCAAGGAAAAUCAAGAUUUUCUAACGCGAAACAUGGGAGCGUGGGUAAUCAAGAAUCUGUCCUUUUUGUGAAUGUGAACAUGAUCAUUUUUCUCCAAGUCCAGCUCAAUUGAGGUCACAAGACAACCAUGAUGGAUCAAUCAAUCCUAAUCAAAUUCCGUUUAUUUAAUGAAGGAUUCGAAAAAUAUUCUCUUAAAAAGAUAAUAACUUAUAUUGCUUAUAAAAAUAAAUGAACGAAAAAAAUUUCAGUCAUUGACUAUAGUCAAUAAUCAAAACUUUUUUUUACUGAUUAUUUCAAAUAAUACAAAUGAUUAUUUUUAGUAAAAUAUUUUCAAAAUUAUCCACUCUCCAUGGAACAAAUGGAGCGUAGGAUCAAAUCUUUCUUAUGUUGUUAAUAUGUGCACAUCGACAAAAAGGGACUGCGUCAAUCAUUCAAAAUGCAUUUGGUUUAAAGGAUUUUGCCUUGGAGCUUGAUUUGGCUUGGCAUCUUGAAAAGUAAAUUGUGAAUUGCUUGACUAGCCCGAAUAUUGCUCUCUUCGUUUAUGGUAAUGAAUUUGACAAAGCUUUCGGGCCCCUAGGAAAAAGAAAAUAAAAACUAAAAGAAGCGUACUUUAUCGGACAAGAACGUUAUCUAAUUCUGUGCCAAGAAUUUUUGUUUAGAGAGACGAAUCAAGAAACUUUGUUUCAUUUUAUAUAUCUAUAAACUUUACUCUUAAAGUUGUGUUAUAGUGUAGAUUAAUUAGUCAACUUUCAAAUAAUAUGAGUGAUCCUUUUCAGAAAAUAUUUUUUUCAAAUCAUUCAUUUUUCACAAAAUAAACAGAACUUAAGAUAAAAUAAUAACAAUUUGAUUGUAAACUUAAUACGUCUAUACAUGUAAUCUCUAACCAUAAUUUCAUUUUGACCAAAACGAGACUGUAAUUUCAUCAAUUAUCCUGGUUUCUUGUCAUGAUUUAUUUUUUUGAAUGAUUAUCUUCAGGUUGUGGUGUUUUGUAUACUAAGAUGAAUUGCAUGUGAAUAAUAAAAUACUGAUUUUGUAAUUUCAUGGGUUUGCCUUUUGUUCGUAGCGAAAAUGCGGAAAAAUGUCGAACAUGAGUCGUUAUAGUCGACCUUUUAGCGAGAAAGGAGUCAUUUUGGCCGUUUUCUGUAGUUUCAAUCACGAGAAACAUCCCUCCUGCUUUGAAAUUUUUGGAGUUCCAAUCUUGCACAUUACCGAACCAACGACGACUGUUAUUUAGAAUAUGUCAAACUAUACUACUUAAAUCAACAACAUAGACAUAACGAAAUGUGAUGUGGUUUUUGCCCCCACGUCAAAGGGCAUGGAACUGUGGAAGUGGGCUUGUCCUCUCAAUUCGUAUUAAUAUUAAGAGCCUCCACUAGCGUGACAGUCGUAUUAAUAGAUGGUUGAAGGCCAUCCUCGCUAUUGUGGCCACCGAACUCACUUGUGGCUUGUUCUUGGGUUUCCAGGGCCAUCAUCCCGAAUUUCUUUGAAUCCUCCUGGUCUUCGCUGGUGUCAUGAUAUGAGCUUUGAUAACGACUAGAUACUCUGGUAGGUCCUAGCAUAAUUCCCUCAUUUAAAUCAUCCAGAGAAAGGUUUCCUUCCAAUGCUCGAACUACCUGUUUACACAAAGCUCAUAUAUUAUUCCACACUUGUAGAACAAUUUGCAUUAAUCGGUCAUGUCAAAAAGUGAGUUGUAGCAAACUAAGACACUGAAAAUAGUGUUUUUCUUUUCCUUUUUUCUGGCUCAAAUGAAGUGAUAACCCAUGAUUUUUCAUUUGUAGGAUAAGCAAAACCAUUGGGUAGAGCAUACAAAUGUGUCUAAAACAAGGGGAAAAAAAAGGAAGAAGAAGCACCCAUUCUGGUAUUAAAACAAUGUACUUUCAACUAGGCAAUGUACCUGUGUCAUUCGUGGACGUUGUCGUGCAAAAUGAUGAACGCAAGCAGCAGCACAAGCAAUCAUCCGAGUCAUUUCCUCGGUAACGUAGUCCUUGUUUAGUUUUGGAUCAACUAUGACAUCAAAAUUGCCAUCUUCUAAAGCUUGUGUGAGCAAAGGCCUUGCCUAAAAUUUUAUUAGAAGAGUCAACUCUAUAACAACAUUCACAGUGGAGAGAGGAAAACAAGGAGGGAAAUGAUAAAUAAUGAUAGGCCACAAGUAAAUAUGUUGCUGACAAACCCAAUUAACCAAGCUAUGCUCAUCACUGGGUAGAGUUACGUCAACCGAACGACGCCCUCCGAUCAACUCUAGAAGCACAACACCAAAAGAAAAAACAUCUGCUUUCUCAGUGAGAUUCCCACUAGUGGCAUAGUCUGGAGCCAGGUAGCUGUGCAUUAGGUAGACUUACAUUAGCAAAAGAUAACAAAACUAAUAUAUGCUUAGACAGGAAAUGAAUAAACUCAACUAUCAUUAGUGUAGAGAAUAUUUCUCGAUUUUGAACCUAUAAAGAAAACCUCGUCGAAGUAGAUUUUUUAGUUUGAGUAAAUUUCCCAAUCUGAAUGAGUUUUCUAAUUUUAGUUGGCCAAAGGAGAUUUCCUGCUUUGGAUAUAUAUGUGUCUAAAGGAGGCAGAUUUUGGUUUUCGCACACUAGAGUGGAUAGAGGAGCUUUUGGCCACAACAAUCAAUUGUGUGGCAUGCUUGUCAAUCACAUUUUGAGUAAAUUGUGAGUAUAGUGAACCAAUAAAUCUUAUUCAUCCGAGUUGUAAAUUUUUUGACUAAGAUAUUGUUUCUCGAGAAAUUGUGACAAUUAAACAAUGUAUGAACUAUUGAGUAUAAUUGGGGGUUAAGGAACAUUGGGACUGUUUGAGUUAUUCAACUGUAGUUGUAAUCUCAAUUAUAUUACUUGAUCUAUAGUUGAAUGUUAUGCAACCCUUCUUUUGGAGUAGGUUCCAUUGAUCAAAUCCAUGUAAAUUUGGUAUCUAAUUUAUUUCACUGUUAUCUUUAUUAUUGUGUUUGAGUGUAUGUUUUUUGCAAUAACUAAUAUUAUAGCUAGGUUUAAAUGAGUUGAAGAGCAAAAGUCAUUUGAUUUGAUGGGAAUGGUUUCAGUUUCUAGAAAAUGUAGUUGAUUAUAUCAAAUGAAUAUGCACUUUUUCCUAUAAGGGGAGAUGAAGCAAGCUGAUUUGAAUUUGUUGGAUAGACAAGCGUUAGUAGUUAUUUAGCUAAAGUGGGCUCAUAAUGUUGCAUUUACUAUUGAAAGAGAUUGCUACAAUCUUGAUUAAUGCCAUGUCAAACAUUUACAAAAGUCCUCUAUGAUAAGCAAGAUCAACUUGGUGUGACAUUUGUUCUAGCUAAAAAUAAGCAAUGUGUGUUAGUUGCAAAGCAUGUGGUUGCUUGUCAACUGAGUUUGGUUGAAAUUAACUUUGAUAAUGAGAUACGUGCUUUAAUUCUAUUAUCCUCGUGGCUCACUAGUUAGAAUACUACUAUCAUUGCAAUAAGCAAUUAAUCUGGUUCAAGAAACUUAAUGUUUGAUGAGGUUCACAAAUUGAUUUUAAAUAAAGACAUCCAUAAAAGAGAAUCGGGCGAACCCCUGCCUAAUUGUAUAGUAAGUUAAGGUAGAAGAAGAACUAAUAUUCAUGUUAGUAGGAAUAAUGUGAACCAAAAAAGACGGAAUCAGUUUAGAAUUGUGGUAUUGUCUAUUGGAAUCGUUGCAAGAGAGUGCAUCUCAAAAUGGAUUUCCUAGCCGAAGAAUGACAGCAGUAAAGGAAUUAGAGUCUAGUCUAUCAAUGAUAUUGCUACAAUAGCUUACGGUAACUUAGAUAGUGUUGAUUAUGUUGUGCUUGUCACUAAGGAUUUGUUAUUUGAUGGUUAGGUUAUAGAUCUAGUUGCUUAUUUCACGCUAUAGCAAACAUGAACUAUAUUACUACUUAUUAGUGCACGGAUAGUGGUGAAAUGAUGUUAAGGAAUAAUGCUGACUGCGAUGUUGUGAGACACAUUCCAGAAAUAAGUCGAACUUGAUUUCUUGCGUGCUCUACAUUCAACUGGGUAUCGAUGUACUUCAAAAAGUAGAGUUUUGAUAGUUGUUGCCAUGGUAAUUAUAAAAUGAAUAGAGCACUAUUGCCUAUAUGGGAUCAAGGGGAGACGAUAACAAAUUUCACCACGGACAUUGGAUGAAUCGGUACAAGAUUAGUUGCCUAUGCAUUUAAGGAACACUACGGAGAGAAGCCUGGAAGUUUUGAAUAAAAGGAAUUUGAUGUGUGGUUAUGUGGCUAAAAAAAUUAAAUGUAUGCAGGUGCUAUAGCUUAGGCAAAUGGCUAAAAGCGCAAUUCUGUAUGACUGCAGAGAAAUCACAAAGAUUGUAGAGUUGAUUCACUUAAAUGUGUGCAAGCUAUCAUAUUUUCCUUCGAGGACGAGUACCAAUUGAUGCUAACAAUUGCAGAUCACUACUCGAGGAAGAUUUGAGUGUUUGUGUGGAGGUGCAAGUUGAAUAAUAUUGUCAGGAUUAGAUGGUUGAGAGCUUUGAGCGAAAUGAAGGCUGGUACAACAAUUUGUGGACUGAUAGUAACAUGGAGUUUUACUCAAAGUAGUUGAACAAAUUCUACGUGAAGGAAAGAACAAGUUGCAAAGUUAAUGAGGAGAACAUUACUAGGAAUAGUCCAUAAAAUGCUUUCUAGUGUUGAAAUGGCUAAGAAAUUUUCAACAAAAUGCGCUUAAUACAGCGAGCUACUAGAUGAAUAGAUCUCCAUUGACUACUAUUUGAUACUAGACUCCUGAAAAAGUAUGGUCAGGUAAUUGAUUAUUUUGUUCUUAAAAUAUUUGGUUACAUAUGUUAUAUUCAAGUGAGUGACGAUAAGAUCAAUGGCAUGGCAAGAAAGUAUAUAUUCCUAGGUUAUGCAUAAGGUGAGCGGGGCUAUCAAUAUGUGGUACCUAGAAUUAUAUUCACUUAUUGCUGAUAGUAAAAUUAUAUUGAUGAGAAUCCAACAUUGUUAUGUAGGAAUAAUUGUGGUAGUAUUUUUGUAGAUUUGGCUAGUGUUCAACUCAAGAUGGAAUUGCAACCCGUAACUCUUGAGGUAGCAAGUACUUGUGUAGUAGAUAACACAUAUUCUACUUGUAACGAGGUCCAGUUAUCAACUCUAGAAGCACUACGCCAAAAGAAAAGACAUCUGAUUUCUCAGUGAGAUACCCACUUGAGGCAUACUCUGGAGCCAGGUAGCUGCACUAGGUAGACUAAAAUUAGCAAAAGAUGAUACAACCAAUAUAUGCUCAGAGAGUAGGGGUGAUAGAUUCUAGGGCAAGCUAGUUCCUAGUUUGUGGAACCAUGAACUAGUCCAACUGGUCCUAGACCCAACCAGGAACCAUACUAACUGGUCCGAUCCGUCUGAUCCAAUUCUUAGGUGGAUGAAGAAACCGGCUCUUUUUUUAUUUUUUUUCUCUUUCCCCACAAUAUUUCAAGUGUCAUUGCAUAGUUUAAACCGAUACAUGAGUCUAAACGUAAUUAUCAUCUCCGUGAACAAAGUUAUAAUGAUCAUCAAGAACCACGUCUGAUAGGCAUCAAGUCGCAAUGGAGGCAGCGCUGUGUGUAUGAGACUAAGAGAAGUGAGAGUGAGAGUCUUGACCAACGAGCAUGCAUGAUUGAGUCUAAGCAAGAAAAGAAUGAGAAUUUGAUUUUGGAAAUAUGGAAUAAUAAGAAUUUAAAAAUUAGUCUCAUCCAAGUGGUUUGAGUGGGUGUGUUCACACAUAGAACCGGGAACUGAACCGAUAUUCAUCGGUUCCUAAUUUCGAGAACUUCCCAAAACUAAUUGAUACGGUCUGAUUCCCAAUUCAAUCUGAUUCUUUUCCUCACCCCUAGCAAUUAGAGUUAGUAUCUCGAUAAGGUUCACUGUUAUGAUGGAGUUCAAGCGUGGCUUGGACUUAAAAGAUUCUUGUGAAGUGUGAGCCCAUGAGGGGCUGUGGAAGAGUAGCGAUGAUAAGUUUCCAUCAAAGCGAUUGUGAUUGGCCAAACCUUGAGCAAAAGUAGAGAUUGUUGAUAAUAAGUUACAUAUUUGAGCCUAUAUAGGAAAUUCGAUCCAAGUGAGUUUCCUAUUUUAAAUAGGUUUCUUAGUCUGAGUGGUUUCCUAGCUUGAGUAGAUUUCCUAGUUUUAGUCAGCUAAAAGGGAUUUCUAGUUUGGAUUCAAAUAUAUAUAUAAGAUGGAUUUUGGCUUUUGCACAGUAGAAUGAGCAAAGGAACUUUAGGUCGUAAUAAUCGAUCAUGUCGUGUGCUCGUGAAUUAUAUCUUAAAGAAAUUGCAAGUGUCGUGAAGCCAAUGAAAAGAUUGAAAGAUAAUUUCGUAAAGAAUUAUGAGAUAUUUUUUUAGAGUGUAUUUGAGUGACUCAACUAUACUUGUGAUAACUAUUAUAUCGCUUGUUUUAUAGUAAAAUUCUAUACUAGUCUCCCCAUGAAAUAGGUCCUGCCAACCGAAUCUAACCGAACCAUGUAAAGUCAGUAUCUGAUUUAUUUCCAUGUUCUAUUUAUUAUUAUUACUUGUUUUUUACAACAUUUAGAACCAAUUUAGACGAACCACAUGCAAGAUAAAUAGCCUUACCCAAAAGUUCCCAUUACUCGAGUAAAUACAUGAGUAUCUGUAUCAGAAGCAAACUUUGCAAGUCCAAAAUCUGCAACCUAAAAUCAAAAUGUCAACCUUUAGAUUCAUAUCCAAAUAGCUUCACACUACAAGAUUAGAUUAUGCAUUAAAAGUUCAUCAUAACUCCAAAAUAAUUUCAAGACUAAAACUCUAUUAUUUAGCUCUCCAAAUGAUUUCAUCAAGAAAUCAACUUUUGGAACCUAAAGAUCUUUUGCCAUUUCUCUUGGCUUCGGCUUAUAAGAGGAUGUUGGAGGGAUGCAAAGCUUUUCAAGAUAUGGAGCAGUUCGCUAGCUUAAGAAGCUAACUGAAUAAUGUGGUAGUGAAUUCUAUAAACAAUUUAGAUGAUCGAUAUUAUCAUGUAAUGAUUAAAUAGUUGCGCAUUGUACCUUUGCCUCAAAAUUAGAUUCCAAAAGAAUAUUAGCAGCCUUGAUGUCACGAUGAAUGAUUCUGGGAUUACCUGAUAAGUGAAUCCAAUAAAAAACGAACUGCGAAACUUAUCAUAAGUAUAAGGUUUAAAAGAUCGUACUCACAUUCCUCGUGUAGAUAUGCCAACCCCCUUGCAGAACCUAAAGCAAUCUUCAUCCUCAUAGGCCAAGUCAUAGUUGGGCGAUCCUUCCCUGCAAUGACAUUUGCCAGUUCCAACGAUUAUAAUGUUUUCAAUAAGCCAAAAUAACUACACAUACUUUGUAGCCUACGCAUGCGCAUUGCAGUGGAGAUCAAGUUAGCUGAUUAUUAUGAGAUUCCACCAAAAUCACCUGAGAUUUUUUUUUUUUCCCUUUUUUAUACAUUUUAGUGGACUUUUGCCACUUACCUGGAAAAGGCUAGGCAAUUGUCGUCGUCACUAACAACAGCAUUUGGAAACAGUGAUCCAAUUUGAUUAAGAGAAAAAUGAAAUUCAACAUAAUCCCAGCAUACUGCCAGAUAAACAACUUUGAUAUACAAAUCCCUUACUCCAGAAUAGAGGGAACAUAUAGACGAGUCCACAAUUCCAGCAGCACUUAAAAAAGGCAUUGACCAUAGAAUAUCAAAGUUGUAUGGUAGCUAGAGUCCAUAAGAGAGAGAGAGAGGGCAUCAUCGGAUGAAAGAUGUACAUGUAUUCCUCUAAAGUCAUACUCACCGUGCAAAUGAAAUUCCAAUGUGCCAUUUGGAACAAACUCAUAUACCAAAAUUCUAUGAGGACCAGAAAUGCAGUAACCAAUAAGUGACACAAGGUGUCUGUGAUGAAUACGGCUAAUGAUCUCGACCUCUGCUUGAAAUUCCCUCUCUCCUUGUCCGCUUCCAGGUUUUAACUGCUUGAUUGCAACUACUUUCCCGCUCGAAAGUACUCCUUUAUGAACAUAGCCAAAACCACCUUGGCCAAGUAGGUGGAGAUUGGAGAAAUCAUCUGUUGCUAUUUUUAGUUCAUCGUAUGUGAAUGUGUUCUGUGCAAGACCUAAUGCCAUCCCUGGAGAUGAUACCGAAGGUUUUAAUGAACGCAUAUCUGUUAUUGAGAAUGGCUCAGAAGGAGUUAGACUUCAGGAACUCGACAGAAUAAAAUUACGAAGAAUUUACGAAUUUUAAGAGCUCGCAGUCAAGCAUAGAAAUCUCACCUGUAGGCCCCUGUGGAGGAUAACUCCCCGACUCAAGCCGCCUCCUCUUCCUUCGAUAUAGAAUCACGGAUAUGCACACCCCAACCAGCACAAUGAGCCCCCCAAUCCCAAUCCCCACUAUCAGCGCCAGCUUCCACGGCGGCAACCCCCCGUUCAGAGACGCCGGUGGAGGAGAGGUGGAAGUAGUCGGAGGACUCACCAGUGGGAGAGGACUUGGCGGCGGGGCGUCCACUGCGGGAGGACUUGACGGAGAACUUGACGGUGGGGCGUCCACUGCGGGAGGACUUGACGGGGAACUUGACGGCGGGGCAUCCACUGCGGGAGGACUUGACGGCGGACUUUCAAUUAGGGGAGGACUUGGCGCCGGGGCGUCAACUGCGGGAGGCGGGGGGUUCACUAGGGGAGGACUUGGCGCCGGGGCGUCUACUGGGGCCGACAUCGACCCUGGGAGGACUUGGAAAGGGGUCGUCAACUGUGGGAGGACUUGGUGGCGGGGCGUCUGUGGGAUAUCCACGCACCGGCGGGGGAGGACUUGCCGUCGAGGCGUCACCUGUGGGAUACACCACUGUCAUCGACGAGUGAGCCACCUGGCUCGCUGUUGGGACUUCAACAGAGGCCACCAGAGGCCCACGAGAUCGAUGCGUACGACGUUGCCCGGAGUGGAAUGAAAAUUAUUUUCAAAUAUUUUUGGGGAAGUUUUGGACGGAUGAAGUUCGAGUGGAUGACUGACAGCCGGAAAAGUGAGGGCAAAAGCUGGGAGGAGCAUCCCAUAAAUAUGUUCUAAAAUUUCGUAUCUUUACAAAAAUCAGACUGUAGGAAUCGUAUCAUUUAAAAAAUGAAAAAUAUCACGAACAGUCCCUAAACUUUCACUUAAUGUAUAACCUCGUCCAUAGACUUUUAAUUUGUUUAUUUUGGUCCCUGAAUUAUCGAUAAAUGUCCGAUUUAGUCUCUGACUAUUUGAAAAUUGACCAAUUUCGUCCCCGAGCUUUUGAUUUGCUCAAUUUGGUCCCUGAACUAUUAACAAAUGUUCCAUCUAGUCCUUCCGUUUGUUCAAACCGUUAAGUGAUGAUGUGGAGCAUUAAUUGAUGACGUGGAACUAAAUUGGAUUACUAGAAUUAUGAGUCAAUAUAUAUCUUGAAAAAUAAAAACAAAUUAGGGGUCAGUUAGAGAUCAGAGCACUGAUCACAAAAGCAAAGAGAAGAAAUGGUUCUAUAUCUUUUUUUUGGACGGUGGCCACAAUUUGACUUGUUUUAAAGGUAAUUUCCAUGUGGAUAUUCCACAUGUCCUUUUUUAUUUUAUAUUUAAGAGACUAAAAGCCAUGGAAGCCAAUUUCGUUAACUUUAACUAACAGAAUGACAAAAUUGGUCAAUUUUCAAAUAGUCAGGGACUAGAUCGGACAUUUAUCGAUAAUUUAGGGACCAAAUUGAACAAAUUAAAAGUCUAGGAACGAGAUUGCACAUUAAGUGGUAGUUCAGGGACCAAAUUGAGCAAAUCGAAAGCUCAGAGAUGAAAUUGAACAUUAGAUGAAAGUUCAAGAACCAUUUGUGACAUUUUCCCUAUAAAAAAAUAAUAUAUAUAGUCUUGAAGGUUAAAAUCGUAUUUCACCUCAAAUAGAUAUGGUCUAAAUUAGGCUGCUAGAUGAAAAUUUUGCAAUAUUGCAUACUUUCUUAAGCCGAGCAUCGACGGUUUGUGACAUGGCUAGUUAAGAGUAAAGACGGAUUAAUCAACUUAUGCCUUUGCUAAAUCUAAUUCCACGGCUUGUUAUGCUAUCUUCUUUGGGAAAAUAUAAGGGAGGCAGAAAAGAAAAGUGGAAAGAAUCGAGAUUGGAUUUGAGGAGCAAAGCAUAAAUUGUGUUGAAUACUUGGGACUUACAUACUGAAGAUUUUUGCAAGUUUUUAAGCCAAUCAAUUUUCUAGUAAGAUUUGUGAAUUCCAGGAAAAUUGUCCAAGAAAUUUUAAACCUAUUGUAGCUUUACCAAUUUAAUCCUAAAAUUUUCAAUUUUAUCAAUUAAGUCCACUGGCAAAUUUUGGUUAGAAAUAACUGAUAUGAACGCCAAUCAUCUUACGCAAUAGGUCAGCGCUAAUAUGGACAAUUUUUAAUACUACUUCUUUUCUGUGCUUUUUUUGGGUCUCACCAAUGAUCCUCACUAGCUGUGGAGGCCUCCAUCAUCUCCGGCGAGGCCACAAAGGCCCUCAAUGAGACCAUCGCGACCCCACUGGCUGUGGACAAGGUGGUUCUCACCCAAAUCUUGCGAGAGCUACCUCAUCCUCUCCUGCAGCUGGCGAGGUUGUGAAGUCCUCACCUAGGGCCUCACUACAGCAACCCAAAAAAAAAACACAAUAAAAGGAACAAAAGAAAUUCAAAAAUAAAAAUAAAAAUUCCAUGAAAUAUUAAAAUAUGAUUAAAAAUUAUCAAUGUCAGAGCCGACCAUCUACGUUAGCAGUUUCUAGCCAAAAUUGGUAAUUUCGAAUCAAAAUUGGUUGAACGGAUUUAAUUGGCAAAAUAUGAAAGGGUUUAGACUCAAUUGAGAAAAUCGAAAUGUUUGGAACUGAAUUGACAAAAAUUGAAUAACUUUACGAUUUUUUCGACAAUUUUUGCAUGAAUUCCUUUGCAAGAUUGGGUGAUUAAGUUUAAAGAGGAAUCGUGAGGACCAAACAAUGCAAUUAGAGAUAGGGAAAUACCAAGAGCAUUGCCUAAUUUAAAUAUGGUUGUAAUGUCCGUUUUAUUACCCGAUCAAUAGUAGAAUCAUGUGGUAUCCUUGUCGCGUAAUCAUUCACACUAAUCGAAUCACUUAAAUUCGAUUUUCUAAUUAUUCUUUUGUUUUGUUUAUUUUAUUAUUUGAUCACUGAAGUGCAAAUUAUAUUUAACGUUUGUCCUAAUCAAUGACUAACGUAGACCCAAUUUCUAGAAGCAAGCUAAUAUUUUAGUAAAUUUGUACUCUAAACGUGAAAUGAGCCCAGCUGUUGUCUGGUCAACGACGACCGCCGUGUUAUGCAAUCCCACUUUUUCUAAACGCACUUUUUCUUCCCUACUUUGUUGGACGAUCUGAUGAAGCGUGUCGUGCGCCGUUGGACGUGGAACAUGGGAGCGUGGGACAUCGAGAAACUGUCCAUUUUGUGAAUGGGAACAUGAUCAUUUUUCUCCAAGUCCAGCUCAGUUGAGGUCACAAGACAAUCACGAUGGAUCAAUCAAUCCUAAUCAAAUUUCGUUGUUGAGUGAAAAAUGAAGGAUCUAAUCAAAUUCCAUUUGUUGAGUGAAAAAUAAAGGAUAUGGAAAAAAUGAUUAUUUAUUUCGCUUAUAAAAAUGAUCAUAUUGACCAUUUUAUGAAGCUUGCUCUGGAGAGAUUUAACUAUUUUUGUUAAUCUGGCGUGCCGAAUGCUCCUUUCUAAUAGACGAUUGGAAAUGAUGAAAAGAAACAUGAUUAAAAAUUGUCCAUGUUAAUGCAAACCGUAUACGUUAGCAGUUUCUGGUCAAAAUUGGCUGAAUGGACUCAAUUAGUAAAGUACAAAAAAAUUUAGACUCAAUUGAGAAAAUCAAAAUAUUUAGAACUGAAUUUACGAUUUUUUGGACAUUUUUCGCAUGAAUUCCUUUGCAAGAUUGGGUGAUUAAGUUUAAUGAGGAAUUGAGAGGACCAAAUAAUGCAAUUAGGGACAGGGAAAUACCGAGGGCAUUUGGCUGAUUUAAAUAUGGUUGUAAAGUCUAUUUUAUUACUUGAUCAAUAGUAGAAUCAUGCGGUAUCCUUAUUGUGAAAUCGGUCACACUAAUGUAACCACUUAAAUCCGGCGUUCUAAUUACUUUUGUUUUGUUUAUUUUAUUAUUUGAUCACUGAAGCGCAAAUUAUAUUUAACGUUUGUCGUAGCCAACGGUUAACGUAGAACCAAUUUCUGGAAGCAAGCUAAUAUUUUAGUUAAUUUGUACUCUUAAACAUGAAAUGAUGAGCCAAGUUGCUGUCUGGUCAACGACGACCCGCGUGAUAUGCACUCCCAAUUUUUCUAAACCCACUUUUUCUUCUCUUACUUUGUCGGACGAUGUGAUGAAGUGCGUCGCGCGGCGUGGAAAGUCAAGAUUUUCUAACGUGGAACGUGGGAGCGUGGGCCAUCCAGAAUCUGUCCAUUUUGUGAAUAGGAACAUGAUCAUUUUUCUCCAAGUCCAGCUCGGUUGAGGUCACAAGACAAUCGCGAUGGAUCAAUCCAUCCUAAACAAAUUCCGUUUAUUAAGCAGAAAAUGAAGGAUCUGGAAAAAAUUAUGGCGUUUAUAAAAAUGAUCAUAUUGACGGUUUUAUGAAGCUUGGUCUGGAGAGAUUUAACUGUUUUUGUUAAUCUAGCAUGUGGAAUGCUCCUUUCUAAUAGAAGACGGGAAAAUGAUAAAAGGAAAGCAGUAAGCAGGUAAAAGAUUUCUAAAAUUAUUACCGUGGAAUUUUUUAUUUUACAUAUUUAUGCACUUCAUUACAACAAUAUAUUUGUGAUGCUAUAAAAUAAUUUUUGCGACUUUUUAGGAUAUUUUCUAUAUCAUAAAGGUAAAAAAUCAUGACUCUUUUGAUCAGUUAACAUCAAUAAACCCCAUCAUGAUGAUUAAUGAUUGCAACAGAAAAAAAAAAAAUACGUGGGUACAGAUAAGAAUUAUGCCGAAGAGUGUCAAAAUAAUAUCUGAAGGCUGCUGAUUUGUUGAAGGAUAGCUGCGAGUGGUAAUAAACGCGACCAGUGCGGCUGAUGUUGCUACAACCACUGAGGGAUAAGCCCCUUGGGUGCAUUUUAGAUAACAAAAGCUCCAAUACCAAAUUAGAAAAUGCAAUCCAAAAGUUUAAACUGACAAUUGAAAAAAUAUAAAGAAUGUAUAAACCUCAUCGUCAAGCUUAAUUGAGCCGUGUAAUUGUUAUGGUAGAAAGGCAAUUAGUAUUUGACAUGUGUAGGAAAAUUCAAAUUAGACAACGUAUGACAUACAACGACCGCGAAGAACACCGUGUGCAUGGAGGCUUGCCAAUAUUUUGUGCUUAUAAACAGUGGAGGAGACUUGACUUAGCACUUGGAUAUGAAAUGAAAACCAGAACAACGACCACUCUCUCUCUCUCUCUCUCUCUCUCUCUCUCUCUCUCUCUUCUUAAGCCACUUUGUUGUCGGCUUCCACGAAAGGCUGUGUUACGAUAAAAUGAAAGUGCGGCGUCGUCGAGACCAUAUUUUCCGCCAUGGAAAACAAGAGCGUGGGCCAUCAAGCGUCGCAGCUCAUGUUGGGAGUGCGAUGUUGAUCUGAUUCCCGCCCUUCAAGUCCGGCAUAAUCGACUUCACUAGUCAUCUGAGGAAGCGUCAAUCAAUCAUCGCUCGACAGAUCAUCCGAGCCAAUGGAGCACCUUCUUGCAGAUUGAUCAAUAAUACCGAAGAUUCAGGACACCAUCAGAACACCGAUACCCCCUAUCCGCGAGCUACCGGAGAGUGACGGAACCGAGGUAACGAUCUUAUUAAAACAUAAGAACCGGCUAUGGUCGGUCCGAUCCAUGAAAGCUGAACUGUACUUUAUUAGAGCAUGCCAUAAUCAUACAGCACGGCAAAUACAUAAAGAUGGGAACAAUUUGUCCCAUAGAGCUCUGAACUAGAGAUAAGCUAGUUGCUGAAUCCUCAAUCUGAGUGCCAGGCCGGUUCAGUCUGAUUCGUCUUCAGAAACAAAGAACCGGUCCAAUUAUUUCCAAUUUUUAAGAUUUCAAACUACGAACCGGACUGAUUAUUCCCUCAGGAACCACCCAUAACCAGCCAGUUUUGUCUGGUUUCCAAUUCGAUCUUGAGACCGGUGCUCGCCCUAGUUUUUACCAUAUGAAAAUUAUAUAUUCUCAUUGGACAAUAGGACUGUUUGCAUUUCCUUCGCAUAAUUCUAGUAAUGAAUGGCCAUGAUCUAUGUAGCACCAACACGAACACGCGACACGACACGACACGCCAACACGUUAUUUCUAAAAAAAUAGAGAAUUUCGACACGUUCCGACACGUUAUAUAUUAAAUACAUAUUUUUAUGUAUAUAUGCAAAAAUAAAUAAAUAAAUAAAUAAGAGCAUAGAAUUAAUUUAUACUAAAAAAAUUAAUCCAACAUUUGUUAAUAUCAUUUAUUAUUUUAAUUUGAUAGAGAUUAAAUGAGAAAUUUAAAAAUUGCAAACACAAAAGAGUAAAUUUGAAUGAUCAUGUCCUAUUUUCUUAUAGGGUUAACACCCUAAAAAACCCUAAACUGGUACAUUUGUGACAAAUUUACCCCAAAUUAUUUUUUUAACCACCAAAAAUCCCAAACUGGUAUACCUUUGACAAAUUUACCCAAAACUGGUACACUUGUGACAAAUUUACCAUAUGUUAAUUUUCGUUAAAUUUUAUUGUUAAGUUAUUAAGUUAAAUAACACGUGGCAAUUGACUAAUAUACCAAUUUGGGAUUUUACUCUCUGUUUGUAACAGUUUACAAUUUUUGUGAUUUUUUUGUGGUAUUAAUCAAAUUUAACGGAGGGUAUAUUAGUCACAAAUUUACUAAUUUGAGAUUUUUUGUGGUUGAAUAAAUUAGUUUGGGGUAAAUUUAUCAUAAAUGUACCAGUUUAGGGUUUUUUAUAGUCAGUCAGGGUAAAUUUUUCAUAGAUGUACCAGUUUGGGGUUUUUCAUAAUCAAAAAAAUAGUUUUGGGUAAAUUUGUCAUAAGUGUACCAAUUUGGGGUUUUUCAAUGUAUCAACCCUUUCUUAUAUUUGUCAGAAAUUAAUGAGAUUUCUUAUAGUCCCAGACCGAGUUUGGAGUUCAUGAUAUAGAUUGGCUUGAGCUCCUCUGCAAAACAAGGUUCGAGAAAAAUGAAAAUCCAUGACAAGAACUCUCAAAAUACGACCAAAAGAAAAGGAAAUAACUAAAUUCGCCAUGGAAAAUGUGACCAAAAGAGAUAAUUCGCAAGCGACGCCUGCGAGAGGUGGAAAGAAGUAAAAAAAAAAAAUCACAACUUUAACUCUGUGGGGGCAGCGGAGCGACGCCAGAGAGAAGAGGGGCGUUCCAUCAUCACUCACGGGAAGGUCAAUACUUAUAAAUAAGAAUCUUGAGAGUGAAAAUGUUCUUCUUUUCCCUUUAUUUUUGUUAUUUUCAUUACUUUUUCAUAUAUUUAUAUUUUAACCCCUCAAGUAUUGAAAAAUUUUAAAAUUGACCCCGUGCGUGUCGAAGUCACGUGUCGGAAUUUCAAACUCGCGUGUCGGAGCGUGUCGGGAAGAGUUGACCACAUGUCGAAUUUUCCGACACUUGUUGACCACGUGUCGGAACGUGUCAGAGCGUGACGGAGCGUGUCGGACACAUGUCAGAGUGUCAGAUACGACACGAAGGCUUUCAGAGAGUGUCGGUACUUCUUAAGCCAUGAUCAUACUGUAAGGGCAAAAAUGUGGGAACAUAUCUAGAUGAAUGAUAAUUGUCUAAUCAUAAGAUCGACAACAUAUCUGGAUCUGGGCGUGCACACGGGAGGACGAAGCUCAAUUUUUUAUGUACUUUAAUAUCGUGGAUCGGGGAGAUAUCAAAUCCCGCAAAGAUAGAAUCAAUCGCAUCGCACAAAAGCCACGUUCCAUUAGGGAAUGAAGAAAGUAAUAACAAAUGAUGGAACGUCACCGAACAAACAUACUAUACGUAAGAGUUAUUCCUUAUGGAUAAAAAAAAAAAAAAAAUAGCCUCCUCGAAUGAUUUGCUUAAUUUUGCAUGAAUCGUCCAAUAGAAUUUAUCACAUAGAAACCAACAUCGUGAGAAGCCACUGCAGGUGAGUCUAUACAGUUAUGUUUACAAUGGAAAAUACUCUUACAAUUAAAUGGAAGUUUCACUCCAAUUGAAGCAAUGACGAAUUCAAGAACUCUACUUGAGCGAGAGAAGAGGAUUUGUAAUAUCUUAAGGGGACAAAAUACAUAUUGCUGUGUGGUAUUAUUACUCAAGAAACUAUACAUGCAGGCCCUUCACAUAAAUUUCGCAAAACACAGGAGUUUUAAGGAAAAUUUUCUCUCUCUCUCUCUCUCUCUCUCUCUCUCUCUCUCUCUCGACAGCCACUUUGUUGUCCGCUUACGAAAGAUUGUCGUCCGAUGAGACAAAAGCGCGUCGACCGGCUCUCUCUCUCUCUCGACAGCCACUUUGUUGUCCGCUUACGAAAGAUUGUCGUCCGAUGAGACAAAAGCGCGUCGACCGGACCGUAGUUUUCGCCGUGGAAAACCAGAUCGUCCUGAAGUGGAAAACGAGAGCAUGGGCCAACAAGAGUCGCAGUUCAUGUUGUAAACACGAUGUUGAUCUGAUUCCCGGCCCUUCGUAUUCCGCCAAGUCCGGCGCAAUUGACUUCACUAGUCAAUCAAUCAUCCAGCGACUUAUGCAGGAGUCGCUCAACAGUUCAUCCAAGCCAAAUGACACUUCUUACUAAUUGAUCAAUAAUACUAAAGACUCAAAACACCAUUAGAACACCGAUGCCCCCCAUCUGCGAGCUACCAGAGAGUCACAGAACCGUCGCAAUGGUCUUAUUAAGCCGUGAGAACCUGAUAUGGUCUGAUCCAUGAAAGCUAUACUGUACUUAAUACAGCAUGACGUCAUCAUACAACCAGGCAAGUACAUAAGAUGGCAACAGCUUGUCCCGCAGUGCUCUGAACUAGACAAGUUAGAUGCUGCCUCCUCAAUCUAGGGAUCCGAGCUGGACCAAUUCAGUCCAAUUCAUCCUCAAGAACUGGGAACUGGACUGGUAGUUCCCAAUUUUAAAGAUUUAAAACUGGGAACUAGACCAAUUAUUCCCGCGGGAACCACCCAGAACUGGCCAGUUCGAUCUGAUUCCUAGUUUGACUCGGAACCAGUGCUUGUCCCCAGUUUUUAUCAUAUGAAAAUUAUAUAUUCUCGUAGGACAAUGGGACUACUUGCAUUUCCUUGACAUAAUUCUAGUGAUGAAUGGCUGUGAUCAUACCAUAAGGGCAAAUAUGUGGGAACAUAUACGGAUGGCGGAUAAUUGUCUAAUCAUUAGAUCAAUAACAAAUCUGCUUCAUGCGUACAAAUCUGGGCGUGCGCACGGGCGGAUGAUGCUCAUUUCACGUACUAUAAUAUCAUGGACCGGGGAGAUAUAAGAUCUUGUGCAAAUAGAACCAAUCGCACUGUAUUAAAGCCACGUUCCAUCAGGGAAUGGAGAAAGUAACGACAAGUUACAGAACGAUGUCAUUGGACAAAAUAAAGUUAUGGGGCCUACUUGCACAUAAAAAAGUUGAAGGAAGAAAUGGAUAGCAGUACUCAAUCAAUCACAUUCUAUCACAGAGACAAGAACAACUUGUGGGUGUCCAAUUCUGCCAAAAUUAACAUGUUCGUUGCCUUGUGGUCUCUGGAUGAUGGGCGGCUUCCAGCCAGUAUGCGGACAAUCCAAACCUGCGAUAUUUGCGAGAUCUCCUUUAACUAUGCAGAUAAUUGCUUGCUAUAUUUGAAUGAUCUGGAUCGCUGCGUCUCUUCUUUAGAUUCCCCAAAAGUUACCAAUGAGUACUGCAUCACAACUUUUGAAGUUCGCCAAGCAGACUUUCAAGGUAAAUCUCCCUAAGAUAGCGGCUUUACUAUCUGUUUAUCAUGCUUAUGGCUGCAAUUCUUGUCUGUCUAUUCUCUCGCUUUCUUGUAGGACCACUUUGUGACUUGCCACAACUUACAAGGAAAACAUGGUUUCAAGGGACACAGUGGGCUCUCGCGAAGGUAAAAACAGACAAGUUGCCACCUUGUCUUUCUUAAUGAAACUAUCCUAGAAAUGUCAUCAAACAUCUAUCGACAAGAAGCAGAAGAAGAAGUCACCCCUGAUCUUUUUUCUUUUUUAAACAAAAUUGUAGCCAGAGCACACAAGAGCACUGUAGAAGGCUGAAACCGAUGCAACGGAUGGAGAUGGGAUUUUCAUUCUUCUGCAGGCGAGGAUCUGGCAGGCCAAGAUCUGGGUUGCCGUUCAAGCUUCAAAAAAAAAGAGAAAAAGAAGUGGGUCCCGCGCUACAAUGAUGUAGGCCCGCCGGAGUUGAAUCUUAUUUUUUACAAUAUUUUUCUGGUUUUAGUAAAACACCAAAACUUAGAAAAAUUAAGUUGAACGGAAGUUGUUUUUCUUUGUUUGGUUGGUGGCAUGCGUCAAGAGAAGGAACGCACGUUCUCCAUUAAUAAUGAAAGGAGUGUUCCGAAAUAAGAAUAAUAGAAGUAUCAAAACUUUUGUAAAAUGCUCAAUUAAGCAUCAAAAUUUUUAUUCGCUCACUUAAGUUGUCACGCCCCGAACCUCGAGCACGCGCACAUCCCACUGCGGUCGAUAGAAAUGCGACUUCCCAGGACACGUCGCCGACCCAUUCUUUUUAAUUACACAUGCGGAAGCGGAUAAAUAAUCCCCAGACAAAACUCAAUUGGGAUAGAAAAGCAGGAUCACAUUUUUAAAACCAACCACAUACUUUUUAUACAUAUCAAACCAGUUCAUUUACAGGACUAGGCUAUUUACAAAAGAUCUAUAGAAGAUCAGUCCUCAAAAACUAGGCUGUCCUAAGAUCAGCUAGACAGGUCCAUUCGCCAGCUCUUUAGUCGGGAUCGGCGAAGUCAAAAAUCCUCUCAGCGACCCUCACUGGUCUACCAAAAAGCUCCGGAGGAUCCGCCAUCUAGGGACCUGAAAUAUUAUCCCACAACCGGGAUGAGACGAUGUCUCAAUGAGUCCUACCCUCUAAAACUCAAUUAGGAAGAAAAUAAGCCCCAGGGUGCUCUAGCCACACAAAGAGAAUAGAGGACUUACCUCGCCUCAGUCCUUCCUGCACGUCAGUGCAACUCAUACGUCGAUAAAUUCAUACUAUAUAUCAAUUCAUAUCGUCUAUCAAUUCAUACCAUCUAUUCAUCCAUUAAUAAAUCACAGCUCACACAAGCUGAUAUAGAUGGUAGCUCGCACAAGCUGAUAUAUGCAUAGAUGAUAGCUCACACAAGCUGAUGUAUGGAUCGAUGCUCUCACAAGCUGACAUAUAUAAAUCAAUUGCUCGCCAAAGCGGAUAAUUCAAUAAUAAACCAACUCAUAUCUCAAUUCAAUCAAUCAAUCAAUCCAAUCGAUUCAAACUGGUCAUACAAAUCAAUUACGGUGCUAAAAGCUAACACCGGGUAUUUUCAAGUUAAAUACCACAACUUCAUCAAUUUCACGCAAUUCCACACUUUUGGAAUUAUUAACCAUAAUCAUCAAUCACUCAAUUUCUCAAUUUAAACAUACAAUUAGCACAAACCGACCGCACUACUGCCGAUCAGCACGAAAUUCUAACGACCGGCCAUCCCGGCAAAAUUUUCGAAAUUAUUAAAUAAUUAAAUUUAAUUCCGAAAAUUAAAUAAUUAAAUAUUAUAUUAUAAUAAUAUAAAAUAAUAAAAUAAUAUUUAAAAAUUCGAAAUAAUUAUUUAAUUAAAAAUAAUCAAUUAGGGCUUAAAUUAGAUUACACUAAUUUAAACAUACAAUUAGCCCUAAUUAAACAUCCAUUAAACUAAUCAUACAACUAAUCUAAUUUACAUUAAAAUAAUCUAAUCUAACACCUAAACCUAAUUAGACUAAUCUAAACACCCCUUAAGCAUGAUUAACUUGCUAAGCAAGGUUUAGAGGAUAAACUCACCGGUUUUGCGCGCCGGUGAGUUCACGACGACCACGACGCCAAGGCGGUCGAUAAACCCCGAAGUGGCGACACCAACGGAGGCCGGGAAGGGCUUGAAAACGGGCCACAAAGUCUGGAACUUCUUGCUGUCUUCUGCUUCUGAUUUGGACUGAACUGCAGAGAAGAAACCAGCAACUUCAACGGCGAAAACGGGCUGAUCGGAGCUCCGGCGAGCGGGUGGUUGGCAACCGGCGGCUCCCGGGGGUCAAGGGGAUCUUGCUGGUGGUUGGUAUGGGUGGAGGUAGGGUAGAAAUGGGGAGAAAAUGACUGAAAACCGCGAAACGGGCGGAACAGGCGGAACCAGGCGAGUCCAGACGGUCCGGCGAGCGGCGGCUUCGGGAGGUCGUACGGAACAGCCGGAGAAUCGUUCCAGCGAGCGGUGAGGUGCUCCAGAACGGGCUGGGUCUCUUCUUCGCGGCGAUGGGUGGCUCGUUCGCUAAUUCAACCAGGAAGUUAACUUUUUACUCGGAUCUUUGGCGAAAGGUCGGCUGGAGCAGAAAUUGGAACGAGGGGAAAACAGAGGAGGAAAUGGGGUCCGAUGGGCAUGCGACGGUGGAGGGCUGAUGCUGCUCGGUUCCUCUGGUUUUUGCUGAGCUUCUCUCCUUCAACAACAAUGGAGAAAGCCUUAGAGAAGAAGCUGCUUAAGAGUGGGGGUCUCCUUGGGCUCUCUAGAGCUCAACACUUGCCAUCUUCUCAUUGGCUUUGCCCCCACCAUGACACCACAUGACCUCAGCCACUCUCUCUCCUCCAAUCUUCCUCUACAAGCUUGGCAAUAGGUGCAAAAUGUGGUGUGCCAUGGGAGCUACGAAUUUUGGACAUUCCCCCAUUCAAUCCAUUCAAUUCUCUCUUAAUUCCAAUCAAUUGAAGCUCAAUUGAAGCUCAAAUAAAUCGGUCCAUGUGUCCUCAGCCUUCUCAUGACAUUUCCCCGUCAAAUGAUCCAACUCGCAUCCUGAAGAUUCGAUUCAAAACGGCCCUCUGACAAUCCCGAACAAAAACGGCCUUACUUUGCUUUUCCGCCAAAAUCUCAGUUUGUAGAAAAAUCUUUUGAAUAUGAGUCGACGUUCCUAAAAUGAAUUGUGACAUGCCAGAACCUUCAAUUUCUGAAUCCGGAUUUAAAAUCACGGUUAAUUUCAAUCUGGCACGAUUUGAGCGCGUCCUAAUCUACCGGGUGGCUUUUAGGAAAUUUUCAGUGUAAUUGACCCAUGGUUGAUUAUUUUCAAGCCACGACAUAAUUUUCGACACAUUGGCGACUUUCGAUUGUCAUGAAAACUCGAGAUUUCAAAUACGGACACAGGGUACCCAAAACGACAAAAUAAUCAGUUCAGUGCCGGUCGACGAGGAUAUUGAAAUCAGGUGGAAUCACCCACACUCUAAUUACAUAUCUCAGUCGAAUCGACCUAUUACUAAUCUAUGCUCGAUUCUGACAGUGUCGUAAUGAUCCUUGCAGAUUUAUACGAUCGAGUAGUCGGUUCAUGGUCAGAUUCUUAAGCCUAUUGCAUUUAAAUUCCUUAACGGCUUCACCUAAUAGACUAAUUAUCUCGUGAGUGAUCAGCUCGGAGAAUUGAACUAUAAGCGCGUCGAUGAAAAGUCCGUCUCAUUUAAUUGAAAACAGAAUUAGAAAUUUGGGAUGUCACAUAAGUGCCACAUCAAAGCAAAAUCAUUUACCUAAGUGUCACUUCCGGGCAAACAACCUAUAUUGAUUUUUUAAAAAAAAAAUUGAAUUUCUUUCUUUCUUUUUUAGGCUGAUGGGGAUCAUUGACGACCCUCGCCGAGCAUGAAACCCUUGUUGGCUGCCUCGCCCUCAAUUGCGGUGGCCCUGGGUGAGGCCAUUGAGGCCUCAUCGACUUUGGGUGACCUCAGGCGAGGGUCCUCGUGGCCUCACCCGCUACUAGCAAGGCCCUAAGUUGUUGCCCAAAACCUUCGCAGCGAGAGCAAAGUAGUGAGAGCCCUCACCAACCACCGGCAAGGCCUCGACAACCUUGCCCAAGGACUUCACAGUCGAGGACGAGGAUUUUGCGGCCGACGAGGGUCACCAGUGAUCCUUGCCAGCCCUAAAGAAAAAAAGCAAAAAAAAAAAAAGAAAAGGAAAAAAUAAUAAUAAAUUCAAAAAGUAUAGUGUAGAUCAACUGGUUGACUUUCAAGUAAUAUGAGCGAUCAUUUUUAGGAAAUAUAUUUUUAAAAUUAUUCAUUUUUCGCAAAAUAAACUAAAAUUAAACAAAAAAAUUGUAAUAAUUUGGUGGUCAAUUUGAUAAGUCAAUAUAUGUAAUGUCUAACCGUAAUUUCAUCCAUUAUCCUGGUUUCUAGUCAUGAUUUAUUAAUUUCUUUUUGAAUGAUUAUGUUCAGGUCGUGGUAUUUUGUAUACUAAGAUGAAUUGCGUGGGAAUAAUAAAAUGCUGAUUUUGUAAUUCCAUGGGUAUGUUUUUUGUUCCUAGCGAAAACGAUUCAAAAUGUCGAACAUGAGCUGUUCCAAUCGGCCUUUUAGCGAGAAAGGAGAGUCAUUUUGGCUGUUUUCUGAAGUUUUCUGAAGAGAUUUAACCGUUUUUGUUUUUUUGGGCAUGUAGAAUGCUCUUUUCCAAUAGAAGACGGGAAAAUGAUCGUAGGAAAACAGCAAGCAGGUAAAAGAAUUUCUACGAUUAUUGCCGUGGAAUGUUUAGUUCGCCCUGUUUUUGAACUUCAUUACGACGAUAUAUUUGCGACGCUAUAAAAUAAAUUUGGCGACAUGUUUCUAUAUCAUAAAGGUAGAAAAUCACAACUCUUUUGAUUUGUUAACAUUAACAAACCCCAUCAUUGUAAUCAGUGAUUGCAGCAGAAAAUAAAAUACAUCGGUACAGAUAAAAAUUAUGCGGAAGUGUCGAAAUAACAUCUGAAGUUUGCGGAUCUGUUGGAGGACAGCUGCGAGUGGUGAUAAACGCGACAGAUAACAAAAGCUCUGAUACCAAAUUAGAGAAUUUAAUCCAAAAACUUAAAUUGAUAAUUGCAGGAAUAAUAAUUCAAUAAAUAAUUUGUUGACAUACUAAAUCUGAUUUACUGAUUCACUUCGUUGUGCCGUGCUGAUUGAUGUAGGAAUAUCCGAAUACGGGAUGAGAGGACUGUUGAGCUUGAUGCAGACCAUAAUAAGUCUAAUGCUCGCAGGGUACCGAACGUCCGACUAAAGAACAGAUGUAUGCAUGGAUGGAGACUUUGUCAAGAUAUUCUGCUUAUGGACGGUGGAGGAGACUUGACUUGCCCAUGGAUACAAAAUGAAAAGGAGAACAACGACCACCCGAGCAGCCAUAAUAGUGAAUCUCUCUCUCUCUCUCUCUCUCUCUCUCUCUCGACAGCCACUUUGUUGUCCGCUUACGAAAGGUCGUCAUCCAAUGAGACAAAAGCGCAUCGUCCGGACUGUAGUUUUUGCGAUGGAAAACCAGAUCAUCCGGAAGUGGAAAACGAGAGCAUGGGCCAUCAGGAGUCGCAGUUCCCGUUGUAAACACGAUGUUGAUAUGAUUCCCAGCCCUUCGGGUUCCACCAAGUCCGGCGCAAUUAACUUCACUGGUCAAUCAAUCAUCCAGCGACUUCUGCAGGAGUCGCUCAGCUGUUCAUCCAAGCCAAAUAACACUUCUUACUGAUUGAUCAAUAGUACCAAAGACUCAUAACACCAUUAGAAUACCGAUUACCCCCUUCUACGAGUUACCAGAGUCACGGAACCGGUGCAACGGCCUUAUUAAUGUUAGCUGGGUUCACUCCUAUGUGGAGGAGAUCCAAUAAGUUGCAAGCCUAAAAAGGGCUUGAGCCCAUAUGAUAAAUUAUAUGAGAAAAUAGAGUUUCUCACUAUCUAUAUAAAGAGAUAGCUGCAAAAAAGAAAACAGUAACAAGAGUCACGGAAUACCGAAGUCACGGAACCGGUGCAACGGCCUUAUUAAUGUUAGCUGGGUUCACUCCUAUGUGGAGGAGAUCCAAUAAGUUGCAAGCCUAAAAAGGGCUUGAGCCCAUAUGAUAAAUUAUAAGAGAAAAUAGAGUUUCUCACUAUCUAUAUAAAGAGAUAGCUACAAAAAAGAAAACAGUAACAAGAGAAAAAGAGAAAGCAUAAAAUCUUGGGUUUUGGGCAAUAUCUGAUUCACAUCAAGCUGGCGUCGGAGGUCGAUUCGUGGUCCGAUUAAGCUGAAGUUUUGUCAGUAUGUUCGUGGCACAAUUUUAUCGAAUCGGAACGAUUUGAUUUUCAUUUGAAGCUCCAUACAUUAGGUUUUUCGUGAAUUGAUCAAAACAUGCGUUUUUGGUCAGAUUUAUCAUUGAUCUCUUGUGAAGUUUAUGUGUAUUGCCAAGAAUUAUGUUCAUGAAGUCUUUGCUGCUAUGUACCUCUAAUAUUUGCUAGUAAAGAACAAUUUUGUUGAUAGUGAAGAAUUUCGAGUAGACUCUGGUCCUAUGGUUUUUUAUCUCCUCACAUCGAGGAGGUUUUCCACGUAAAAAAUCGUCUUGUGUUCGCGUGCUUGAUAUUUAUUUUACUCUACUAUAUCAAUUCCUAUAAGGUUUACACAAGAUGGGAGAUUAUUUUAUUCCACUGCGUUGAUUCGAUAUUGUUUGAAUCAUUACUAUUCUCCCAUCAGAGUGGUAUCAGAGCAUCCGGUUAUUGCUUGAUUUUUCUGCCAAUAAGGAGCAUACAUAGACUAGAACAUACAAUCACAUAAUCUACUCUAUUGUCACACUAAUGCACCACAAGUAAAGCACAACAAUAUCAGCACACGACUUAUAUACAAUUGACCAAGUCAAGGUAUAAUGCAAAACCACACACAAACACACACAUCGAGUGUAUUAAAUUCAUUGUAUGUUUCAAUAUCCACCUUCAAAUCAGAUUUUCACCGGAUCACUAGCCAGCUCAAUCGAGUCACCUCUAGAUCUCUCAUUCGGACUUCCAUGGAUUCCCAACCAUGGCAUCUCAUUCCAAGACAUCUCAGUAUCACACAGUUGAGACAUCCUAGUCACGCAAUAGGAAUAUCUUACUCCGAGGUAUCUCAGUAUCAUAAAGUUGAAGCAUCCAUAAUCACACAAUAUGGACAUCCUACUCCCUAGAGCAUUACUAGUAUCACAAAAUUGAUGGAAAUAUUUUAUAUUCAAUUUAUUCCACAUAUUUCAUGCAUCACACCUUAAAAUAAUCACACCACAUAGCAUGCUCAUCAAUUUAAUGCACCAAAUCACUCCAUAAUUCAAUCCUCAAUGUCGCGACCAAUUUUUCGAGUGUGAACUACCUAAGGUUUGACUAAUGGAUUGUUAAGCCUAGAUUUAACUCAACUCUCCCAAGCCCAUACCAGUUUGUGACUUAAGUUCAAAUUUUUAAUAUGCAAUUGAUUUUCAAUUAGGAGUCGCCACUAAUCUAUUUUUGAUGGAUCGAUUAGAAACCCAAGUAAAGUAAUGGGAGAUUUACUUUACUCCUACGAAUCAGAGAUUUAGGUACGGGAACUUAGUUACGCUAGAUUUCUCUAACGCCCUUUCGGUACCGUUUCUUUUAUUUUGAAAAAAUAUUUUUGCAAGCAGCUUGGGUUUAUUUUAAAUCUAUUUCCCUAACAUGUGAGGUGAUCAUGCGGGUACGCAAACCACCAAUUUAACACACAGAUAAACAGUGAAUAAAUUGCAAAACUCACCUCAAAGCAAUGAAAACAUCUGCAAUGUUAAACCAGAAUUCACAUAAACAAUCCUAGAUAUGACCUCUAAUUAACAAGCAAUUUUUUUUUCACUUAUUUAAUGAAAAUCAUGUAAUAUGCAAUGCAAUAUUGACUAAAUGACCUAAUUCUGAUGACAUGCAAUUUCUAAUUGAAUGGACCUAGCAACAACCACUAAAUGGCAUGCAUUUCAAUGAAUCUAAUCCUAAUGACGUGCACAUGACAUUUUUUUCCUUGAAAAGAAUGCAAUUUAUCCUAGAAAAUAAAAUUAAUUUAUUGUAAGAAUUUUUUGUAUUUUUUCAUGAAAUUCAUAAUCAAGUAAAAUGUGAAAAUUAUCUAACUAGAUUAAGAUCCUAUUCAAUUUGUAUUAGGAAUUAGGUUAAGCCAAAUCCUAAUUUAAACUAAAAUAUUAUCUCAACCCCAAAUAAUCCUAAAAUGCAAUCUAUCUAAAAAAAUACCUAAACUUAUAAUAAAUUAAGAAAAAUAUUAUCUAGAAUUAAACUAAGUGCAAUUUUACCCUAAUAUGCAAUGAUGCACAAAAGAUGCCAUAAUUCUACAUGACAUAUGCAUGAUGACUUUUUUUGUGUUUUUGUUUUUUUUAUUAAUUUCGAAAUUAAAAAUUGCCACAUAAUUAAACAUGCAACUUAAAUUAAACUAAAACUAACAUCCUAAAUGAAUGUAUUUUUUUGGAUUUUUUUAUUUAACAAAAUAAAAUUGAUUCAACCAACAUGACGACAAAUCAAAUAAGAUAUGAUCGAUAUCCACAAAUUGGCAAAUCAUAUUUCGCACAUGAGAUCGGAUUGGCCAAUUUUAAAAAUAAAUCACGAAUCAAAUCUCGAGCGUGAGAUCGGAUUGCCAAUUUUUAAGCAAUUGUGAUUGCGAGUCGGAUUUCAAGCGCGAAAAUCGAACUGUCAAUCAGAGGCAAUUUCAUGUUGGAAUCUCAAUCACACAUUAAUGAAUAAUUCCACUAAAAAAAACUAUAAAAGACAUAAAAAAUAAUAAUAAAUAAAAGAAAAACUACCUAAUGUAUUUUUCCUUAUGUUUUUUCUUUUCCUUCCAAGCCUUGUGCUCGUGGUGGAUCACCAAGGACAACAGGUCACCAAGUGUGGUGGGUCACCGGUGUUCGGAGCUCCGGCGAGGACUGGCGGUGAGCAGAUCUGAUGGUUUUAUUUAAUGUGAUGGGCCUAAGUUGGCCCGUCCGCCCAUGUUGGGCCGAAAAAGCCCGGCCCACAAGAUUAGGGCCCAUGGAUGGAGGGAUAUGAUGAAGGGGUACGUUCCUUUUUUGGAGGGAACGUAUAAAAGGAGAAAGAGAGAGGGAGGAACGCACCUUUUGGCAUUUUAACGUACGUUCCUCCUCCCUCUCUCCCUUGAAACACUCCAAAAGAAAACGGUAAGCAAAAAGGCGAAUCCAUCUUCCUUUCAAACGGGAUCGAACGGGAUCGGUUUCUCUUCCUCAUAUGGGCGUCGAUGUUUAAUCUGUGGCUAACAAGGUACGCUCGAUUCCGUGGUAUGCUUUAGGAUCGGUGAUACAUGUGAAUUUCCCGGGCUCGUCUUCCGCAUUCGUUUAAGGGUUCGAUUUAGUGUCGAAACCGGUUUUUGGGAAUCCGACAAUCCCAACAUUGGUAUCAGAGCCGUAGUUCUUGUUUCCCAAUCAUUUUCCAUGUUUUUCCCGACCCCUUUCAUGUUAAUGGAUGAUUACUCAUUGAUUUUUCGCGGAAUUAAUCGGCCAAAACUAAUCGGGGCGAAAAAAUCCUGACACCCGAGCACUGUUCAUCCAUUUUUUCGAGUUUCUGUAACUCGAAAUCAAUUUCUGAUGGCGUAAGAUGGAAGGGCUCGUCGAGAUGAUCGCGACGAGUGGCGGAACGCCACCAGACGCGCCCCCACGCGCAACCGGAGCGAAGCGACAUGCACCCGCCGAUUCGCAGGCGAAGGCGCUUGCGUCGCACGCGCACGCGCGACUGACGCACGCACGUGCGCGUCCGCAGUCGCUAGUGCGUGCGAGGCACACGCCAAUCGGUCGGUCCGACCUGGGCCAACCGGCCUGACCGGUCCGGCGACCCCGACCCGUUGACCGUCGACCGUUGACCGACGACCGUUGACCGUUGACUUUGACCGUUGACCCCCAAAAAAAAAUGUGUCUCUUUUUCAAUUAAAUCUAUGUGGAUUAUAUGUGAUCCCUUAUUUGUUCUGUAUUUGUUGCAGGAACAAUGCCUCCCCUAAGGUUGCGCACACCUAUUCGCGCAAUUACCAAUGAACAAAAGGAAAGGCUUUUUAAGUUAAUAGCUGAGCUGACUGAUCAUCGAUGGGAGAGUAGUGACUUAAUUGAUCACAUCCUUGAAGUCAACGGGAAAAUUCAAAAGGUCAUAUGGAAUGGUCGUCAUAUGCCACAUUCUGAGAUGGUGCAAUUUUUCAUGAACACCCUUCCACCAGAAUGGCAAGGAAUGUUGAAUCGCAUAUGGGAUGUCAACAAAGCUGCUUCAUAUAAGAAAAUUGUGAUGGAUUUUAUAGAUGAUUAUUAUUGGAUUGUUACAAGGGAAAAGAUCAAGAAAUUGAACAAAAUAGGAUCUUUUCCAGUUCGUGUACUGACUUGGCGUUAGAUGUAUUGGCCGGUCUUUGUUAAGUGUGCUUUGUGAACGUCUUAUGUAAUGUUUACUACCUGAUUGUUAUUGAUGUAGCAACUGAUAUGUUAGUUGUAUUAUGUGAAAGCAUUAUUAUUAUUCUACUGGAUGUCAAAUAUUAUUUGUUUUCUGUUAUUGUUGGUUGCUGUGGGUAGUUCAUAGAAGUUUUUGUAGCUUUAUAGAAUUUAUUUUGCAUAAGACAAUUAUAUUAAUGAUAGUUUUAAGUUAAGAUUUUUGGAGGAUGAUUGGAAACAAAGUGACAUUUUGAUUCUGAAACCUUACUUGAAAUUGUUCAUUAAUAUGAUGGGUCUGUGCAAAAUGGAUGUAGAAAUGAUAGGCAUUAAUAAUUUGUGCAUAUAUGUCUGAUGUGUUCAGAUCAAUAGCUUCAGCCACAAAGAGCAUAGUUGCCGAGCUGAACAAAGGUGAAAAGCUCAUGACGAUAACUAUGAAAUAUGGCACAUGAAAAUCCAAUAUAUGCUGGAAGAGCAAGAGGCACUAGAAGCUCUUAACUUGACCAUGGUAGAACCUGAAGAAGGAAACACUGCACAGCACAAGAGAGAUAAGGAAGCAUUUGCUACAUGGAAAAUUAAGAACUCUCUUUCUCGCAUUACGUUGCUAAGCAGCAUAGAAAAUGACGUCAUGCGAGAGUUUAGGCGUUUUGAGAAUGCCAAGGACAUGUGGGAAGCAUUGGCAGCAAGAUUUAGUCAUACUUCGGUGACCAGACUGAGGCAGCUCACUAUUAGGUUUGACUCUUAUAAGAAGCCUCAUGGUCAGACCAUGAAGCAACAUCUUAGAAAGAUGUCAAACAUGAUAAAUGAGCUAAAAGAUGAUGGCCAUGUCCUAACAGAUGAACAGCAAGUGCAAGCAGUGAUUCGUUCCUUGCCUCAGAGUUGGGAGCAUAUGAAGGUGCACCUGACCCAUAAUGAAAAUAUCAAAACAUUUAAGGAUGCAAUGCGUCAUCUUGAGUUGGAAGAGGACCGCCUCUUGGCGGCUAAGCCAGAAACUGAAAUCUACCAUGCUGGUUCUAGCUCACAUGAAGCUUCGAGCUCCAAGCGCAAACGUCCUAACUGGUUUGAUAAAGGGAAAGGCAAGGAAGCAGGUCCUUCAGGGAAGAAGCCUAAGCUUAACCAACAUGAAAGAGGAAAGCGUCCUCGAAUGAAAAAGCUUACAAGGGUGAAAUGUUACAACUGUGACAAGAAGGGUCACUAUGCUCACGACUGUCGUGAGCCAAAGAAGGUAUACACCCCUUGUAUUUUUCAGAACUUUGCUUUUGUGUCGAGUUCUGUAUUCUUAACUAAGUCUAAUCCUUUGUGGACUGUGGAUUCAUGAGCGACAGACCAUGUAGCGAAGGAUAGAGAAUCUUUCGUGGAAUUCCGACAAGUACCAACUAGAACUAAGUAGAUCUAUGUGGGAAACAACUCCAGAACUGAAGUGAAAAGAAUUGGCACCUGCCAACUGAAUAUGCGUGGUGGACGCACUUUAUUCCUAGAUGAUGUAUUGUAUGCUCCGGAGAUUCGUCGAAAUUUAGUGUCUGUUUUAGUGUUGGUUAAAUUAGGUUUUAAUAUGAACUUCCAUAAUAUAGGUGUGGAUUUGUUUUUUGAUACAAAUUACUAUGGCGUGGUUAUUUUUUGGAUGGUUUUAUUGUAUUAGAUAUUGACUAUGUUAAUGCAAAUGUUUGUUAUUCCCUUCUCACGUCUCUUAAUACAUAUGAUAAUGAUGUGAAUGUGUGGCAUGCUAGACUUUGUCAUAUUGGCCAACAACGUAUGAAUAGACUAGCCAAAGAGGGCUUAUUGAGCAACAUUAAAAAAGUCGAUUUGCUCAUAUGUAAGCAUUGCCUUGUAGGGAAAACGACAAGGAAACCAUUUGAAAAAUGUAAAAGAGCUUAAUUUCCUCUGCAUUUAAUCCAUUCUGAUGUUUGUGGUCCAAUGAAUGUGAGAGGAAGGCAUGAGGCUGUUUAUUUCAUCACUUUUAUAGAUGAUUAUACUCGAUUCGGAUAUGUCUAUUUGAUUUCUCAUAAAUCUAAAGUAUUAAGUUAUUUCAAAAGGUUUAUGAACUUGGUAAAAAAAUCAAUUAGACAAGAAAAUAAAAGUAUUAAAAUCCGAUUGAGGUCGAGAAUAUUUAUCUUAUGAGUUCAUAAAAUUAUGUGAUGAGAAAGGAAUAGAAAGACAGUUGUCUAUUCCAUAUACUCCUCAACAAAAUAGUGUUGCGGAAAGAAGAAAUAGAACCCUACUGGAAAUAGUUAGGUCCAUGAUGGCGCAUGCUAACUUACCUAUCACUUUUUGGAGUGAUGCGUUGUUAACUGCUGCCUAUAUACUUAACCGAGUGCCUUCCAAAUCAGUUACUUCCACUCCAUAUGAGUUAUGGACAUGUAGAAAACCCGACUUAAGUUUUCUUAAGCCAUGGGGCUAUGCUGCCUAUACUCAUGAGUCCUUUCACAAGUUUGGGAAAUUGGGUCCCAAAGAAAAGAAGAGUAUUUUCAUAAGAUAUUAUAAACACUCGAAAGAGUAUGUGUUCAUAGAUGAGCAGGAAAGUGGGAGUAUAACUGAAUUUGAAUCACGGGAUGUCACAUUCUUAGAUGAUGAAUUUCCUAAGAAGGGCGAAAUAUGAGAAGAUUACUCCCUAUUUGAAACCUUGGAUCAAGAUAAUGAUAUUAGUGGAGUUCGUCCAAAUGGGAGUAAUAUGAGAAGUGAUGAAUUGAAUUCAACUCAUUCUCAAUUGCAAACACAUGAUGAGACGACGUUAUCAUUAUCUAAUCCUAGUGGGAGCAUAAUGGGGAAUGAUGUGCAAAGUGUACAAUCUCCCAUACGGCGAACAAGUCGCCAAAGUAUUCCCCGUCGACAUUUUGACAUUGAAGGGGAAACUUUUAUAAUUGCUCCGCAAGAUGAGGAUGAGCCAAGAAAUAUUAAUGAGGCUCUGAAUUGCCCUAGUAAGGAAAAAUGGAUUCAUGCAAUGGAAAAGGAGAUUGAGUCAAUGAAGUCAAACCGAGUUUGGGAACUGGUUGAUCUUCCAAAAAGACGCAAAGCUAUUGGGAACAAAUGGGUUCUCAAAAUAAAGCGAAAAGUUGAUGGCUUGAUAGAAAGGCAUAAGGCUCGCCUUGUGGCGAAGGGGUAUAAUCAACAGGAAUAAAUUGAUUAUGAAGAAACAUUUUCUCCUAUAGUAAGAUUUACCUCGAUUCGCAUUAUUCUGGCAAUAGUGGCUAGUAUGGAUCUUGAGUUACAUCAAAUGGAUGUAAAGACUGCUUUCCUCAAUGGAGAAUUAGAGGAAGAAAUAUAUAUGGAACAACCUGCUGGUUUCAUAGUGAAAGGCCAGGAAGAAAAGGUAUGUCGACUUUUGAGGUCGAUAUAUGGCCUUAAGCAGUCAUCAAAACAAUGGUAUAUACGUUUUCAUAAUGCCAUAAUGGCAUAUGAUUGUGUAAUGAUUGAUGAGGAUCAUUAUGUAUAUAUCAAAAGAUCCAAUGAUCAAUUUGUGAUCAUAUCAUUAUAUGUUGAUGAUAUACUAAUUGCCGGAAGUAAUAUGAAGUUUGUUCAUACUGUCAAGAGUUGGUUGUCUUCCAACUUUGAGAUGAAGGAUAUGGGUGAGGCUGCAUACAUUCUUGGAGUUAAGAUUUCAAGAGAUCGUUCGAAGAGAUCGUUAUCUCUUUCGCAAGAAACAUAUAUAAAUAAGGUUCUUGAACGAUUUCGUAUGCAAGAUUGUAAACCCAUAGACACUCCUAUUGCAAAAGGUGAAGGAUUGAGCCAUAAACUGUAUCCAAGGACUCCACAAGAAAAAGAACAAAUGAAACAUGUUCCUUAUACUAGUGCUGUUGUGAGCUUGAUAUACGCUAUGAUAUGUACAAGACCUGACAUAUGUUUUGCAGUUGGAAUGGUGAGUAGAUACCAAUCCAACCCAGGUCAAGCACAUUGGAAGGCCGUUAAGAAAAUACUGAGGUAUCUGAAGGGAACUGCUGAUUACAAGUUAAAUUACCAAGGAAAGGAUCUGUGACUUGAAGGCUAUUCAAAUACUGAUUGGGGAGGAGAUUUAGAUGAAAGAAAAUCUACCUCUGGAUUUGCUUUCUUACUAAACAAUGGUGCCAUAUCAUGGAGUAGUAAGAAGCAAACGUGUAUAGCCUUGUCCACGAUGGAAGCUGAGUUCGUGGCAUUAUCAGCAGCGGUACAAGAAGGAGUUUGGCUUAAGAGAUUUUUGGAUCAUUUAGGUGUCAUUGAAAAAGCUGCAAAUCCAUUGUUGGUUAACUAUGAUAGCCAAGCAGCUAUAACGUACACCAAAGAUCCAAAAUAUCAUGGUAAGACCAAACAUAUAAAUACCAAGUAUAACUUUGUCAAAAAUAUGGUUGCACGAAAGGAUGUGAACUUACAGUACAUAUCUACGCAUAGAAUGGUAGCAGAUCUUAUGACAAAGCCAAUACAUAGAGAUGUGUUUUGUGGCCAUGUAAAAUCUCUAGGAUUACGUAGAGUCUAAUAUACUGGAUUGUAAUUUCCCUGAUUUGUUCACAUUUAUGAACUUUUGUUUUUCCAUUGUUAAUGUCUAUGAAUCUUUAUUUGAUCUUUAUGCAUUUUAAUGCUCAGUGCAUUACUUUAAGUUGAGAAAUUAUGUCGAACAGAUAAAAGAUUAGCCCACUCACACGGGUAAUCGCCUCUAUUACUGUGUGAUAAAUAGAGAUGAGAUUGUUUUUAAGCUUAUUAUCUAGGUGAUAAUCGAGAGCUCAAGCUUAAAAUAUAUAAGUCGCCUUAAUUGAGUGUUAAGAUGAGGACAUAAUAUUUACUAUGUUCGAAAGUAAAAUACCCCACAUAUUUUACUUUAUCUGUCUAAAAUGCCAGAUGUGAGUUUUGAUGAAUUUUGUGAAUGAGUAGAUACGUGAACUCAAGUUAGACAUUGGAUAUGUCUGAACUAUCAUCUGUACGGUAUUGAAGGUGUAGACAUAUGCUCCAUGGGAAAGGAGUUAAUACCGUAAUACGUAUUUCAUACUACGUAUGCAUGAAACGACCAAUAAGAGUGGCAAAAGUUUGAUCUCAACUUUUAUGCCGUGUGAAACUCUUGAGGAAAAGAAUUCCUCAAUUUUAGUGCCCUCAUGACUUUUACUUAUUCUCAAGAUUUCUAUUUAGUGUUUACUAUCUUAGGAUGUUGCCAAUGGUCAUGAGUUGAUUCGAUCUAAUGGGACAUUUCUAGAAAAGCAAGCUAAACUAAAGUUGAGAGUUUGAAGGAAAGAGGAAGAUCGAAUUUGGAGAAUCACAUUGUAGUUUUGUGUUCACUAGUCGACCAAUUAUGACUGUCUUUGGGAUAAUCAUAAUUGUGAAUACAAUAUAUAUAUCAUUGUUUAAAAGAGAUCAAGAGAUAUAUAAAUAUGAUCGAUCGAUCUAGGGUACUGCAUACUAAAUUUACUCAGAGUGUGAUGCCCAUUAUGAGCUGCUAUAUAUUCCUAACAAAUGUAUAGCAACAAGCUCUCAAAGUAUGCCGAUCGCACGGAUUAUUCACCGGUAUGAAUGUUGAAGAGAGGUAAAGAGAAUCAUGUCCGGCCCACCAUGUGCGAGUGAGAGAUGAUGGUUUCAUUUAAUGUGAUGGGCCUAAGUUGGCCCAUCCGCCCAUGUUGGGCCGAAAAAGCCCGGCCCACAAGAUUAAGGCCCAUGGAUGGAGGGAUAUGAUGAAUGGGUACGUUUCUUUUUUGGAGGGAACAUAUAAAAGGAGAAAGAGAGAGGAAGGAACGCACCUUUUGGCAUUUUAACGUACGUUCCUCCUCCCUCUCUCCCUUGAAACGCUCCAAAAGAAAACGGUAAGCAAAAAGGUGAAUCCAUCUUCCCUUCAAGGCCAAUUGACGUCGUCGGAUCGAACGGGAUCGGUUUCUCUUCCUCAUAUCGGCGUCGGUGUUUAAUCUGUGGCUAACAAGAUACGCUCGAUUCCUUGGUGUGCUUUAGGAUCGGUGAUACAUGUAAAUUUCCCAAGCUCGUCUUCCGCAUUCGUUUUAGAGGUUCGAUUUAGUGUCGAAACCGGUUUUUGGGAAUCCGACAAUCUCAAUAGGAUCGGUGGCGAGCGGUCCGACACGGCAAAGGAAACCCGGAAGAGGGGGCUUAAUGAGGGGCAGCGCUCCUGGCAGCAAGGGUCUUGGUAGCAUGGCGAGGGGCUCGGUGACCAGCAGUGGUGUGUUCACAGUAGUGCAGGACCAGCAAUGCUGGCGUGGGGUCGCAACAGGCGGAGCAGGCUGCAGCUCUGGUGCUGCAGAUCGGGCGGUGGUGUCGGCAGAGGGAGCUCGAGAUUUGCAGUUUUGCAGGCAGAGACAAAAGGUAGGGGUGUUUUGGCCCAAUGGCGAUGCAACGGAGGGCGGAGCAGCCCGAGCGUCGCGAAGGGGUGCUCGGAGUGACGGUGGCCGACAGAGGGAGACACGGGUGCUCGAAGGCACAAUGGCAUCGCAGGGGGACGAGUGGCCAAAGGUGUCGAGCGCGGGUGCUGGUACAGGUGCGAUGGGCUUUGGCUCGAUUGCAGAUCCGAGCGCGACUUCAGCAGGCGGCGUCGAGGGAAACUCAGGUGGCUGCAGAGUGGCGAUGCGGUGUCCAGCGAGGCGGCAGAGCAGCAGUGCGAGCUCCUGUUGAUCGGGUAGAGGUGCAGAGCAGGGCUCGCGGAAGGGUGAGCGAAGGCGUCAAUGAGGCGGUAGCAGCAGACCGAGCAGUGGCGGAGCAGGAGGAGCGGCGAUGGCCGAUGUUGGUGGAGGCGCAGUGCUGCGGCGGCUUCUGACGGGUGAAGGACGAAGCGCAGGCAGGCGUGAUGGAUGAAUCUGCUAGGGAGCGUGAACAGUGUUCUUCUUCUUUUUUAAUUCUUUUAUCUCUCUUCCCGUCACUCUCACGUCCUCUCCCUCUGCUCUCUUGACUUUCUCCAAGCUUUUUCUUCUCUUUCUCUCAAAGAACCGAAGGAAAUCCCUUCUUCGACAACCAAAAACCCCCUUUUGUGCGGCCGUGUAUUUUUAUGUGGCCCUCCAAAAUCCUACGCGAAAAACCUUUUUAUAGAUCGAAGAUUAGGGUUUUAAUUUCCUUUUCAAAUCAGUAUCCGAGAAGAUUUCUUUUUCGCACACAAUAUCACUUUUUUAUUUUCCACAUCUCCUGAUUUUGUCGUCUAAAAAUAAAAUUGCAACCCAAUUUUCUUAAAUUUCAAAAAUCUACCAUAAUAUCAUUUUAAAUCUCCAUUUAGGUAAUUCUUGUCAUUAAAAGAAAACGGGCUCGAGCCAAUUUACUUGCUUCGUGGGCUUAGUCCGACCUCCCAAAUUAAAGCUUAGAACCACUAAUUCAAAUCCAUUCACCGCCGAUCCAAUAAAAUGCAAAAAAUAAAUGCAGCUGAAUCUAUAUGCAAUUAAUAUUUUUUUCAGAGAUAAAAUUGACCCCUAAUUUUCUAUGCAAUAAAUAAAUUAUCGGGUCGCCAAAAUUUAGGUAUCAACACUCAAAUGGACACAUACGAGGUCUCAUAGAACAUCCCAUCCAUUGCAUAAAACUCUCAACUAUUCACAAUUCAAUGUCACCUCGUCACAUCUAAGAGGGAGAUAUAUCAAAUGAUAAUGUAUAAAAGACCAUAGAAAUCCCAAGGGGUUGCCAAAAAGUUCAAACAAGUUGUCUACAAAAGUUUGUAAAAAAUUCGGAUUAGAAUAGAAAGUAGACAGUUUUGAGCAGUUUGGAAUAUCGGGGUCAAAACUAUAGUAAACCACUUCGAAAAAUUGUGAAAUUUUAAUAUGUUUUAGAAAAAACAUUGAAAACUAUUUUCCGUGAGAAUUCUAGACCUAUUUUUCACUGUACAGAGAACAGCAAGUCAUUGAAUUAACCCCUAAAACCUGUAAAAUUUUCUAGACUUUACAGCACAAUAAGAAAAAGCACUUCAGUACUCAAAACUUAACCAAUCCCUACUAAAUUUUAGUAUGUUAUACACAAGGACCAACCCUACGACUUUCACGAAGAGAGCAAGACUGAUUGUAUCGUAAAAAUGACAGAAAAAUCAAAUAACAAACCGAUAUCCCUGUUUUUACCUAUCCGCAGAUUACCAUCAUUGAAAGCAAUCACAUUUUCAAUUCUUGUGCUACUUCCAGAAAAUCUAAGGAAAAUAUAUGACAAGUAUACACAAUUUGCUAUAACUUCUAUGAAGAACAUAAGUCUAAAUUCAUGACAGAUUCUUCGGUAUGAAAUUUGCAAAACUUCGAGACCAGAAAAGCUCGAUUUUGGACAUAUCAUCUAUAUCAUCAAAAUCCUUUCAACUUGGCCUUUAUUUCUCUACACCUCCCUAUACUAGCAUUGUUCAAACCUCAAGCACACACAUAUACAGCAACUAAACCCCACACUAAACACCAUAAGUCCCCAAACCACAAUGGAGCUUGCAACCCACGAGCAAGCUACUCGCCUACCUAGAACAACAUGGACAACCCUCAUUUCAGAACACCCGGCCAUCUACCGAACCAACGGCAAAACCAAAGCUCCUCUUCUAUGUAUAUACUUCUUAAACACGCCGUGAAACCCACAUGCAAGCCACGGAAAGACUAUCUAACCUCACAACCAACGAGUUAGACCCCAAAACAAAACCAUCAAGGAUCGUUUUUCCCUCAAACCCACUCGUCUCACAUUUCGCUUAACAACCAUAGAUUAUCCCAACUUAGUAUCCUACCACUUCCUUACCCAGUUGAUCCUUGCCUUCCUCACUUGCUGGCUCUUCAAAAUCUCAGAUCUCUAAAGCUCGAAACCACAGAAAAAUCACAGAGGAAGGAGAAGAAGUUUCCGCUGAGCCAACAGAGAAGAAGAGGAGAGAAGAAACAAGAGGGUGAGAGAGAGAGAGAGAGAUGAGUCGGAGGGGAGAGUGAGGGAGAGAGAACAAUGAUGAGUUUGUCUUGAGAAUGUUUCCUAAAUCUUCAUGAGUCCCUAGGCAGCUCAUGAUUGAAAAAAUUUUAAAUCCUAAGGCCAUGUUGACUGAAGAGCGGGCGGAAAUGCCAAGGGAAGAAGAGGCAACGCGAGGUGGCUUCUUGCAUGCAAUUCCCAUGCAUACACACUCAGUGUAGGAAGGUUUUGGGGGCUAAUUUGAGGAUUUUCUUGCAUUCUAAUCAUUGGUCCUAGUUUAUCUUUAUUUCAUUCCAAUUCUUCCCCCACGCAUUUGGCCCUACAAGAAGAGAUUAGGUCUAAUUGAUUUGCGUAUGUCUAAAGUGGCAUUGAUGUCACAAAUUGGGCCUAAGAUCAAGAACUAAGAGGAAUCAUAAGAAAGUGUUAAAGAUUAAUCCCGUGUUUGUAUAUAAAUUCCUAAAUUAAACUAAACACGAGCAAUCAAAACUGUUCACUGACGAACAAAAAUAUUUUUUGCUCAAACUUGGCCUCACGCAUACAUCCAUAGCUCUAUUGGCCCCAAAUCAUGGCCCACUAGGCCCUUUACUCAGCCCAUUGCUUGUCCCAUCAAGCUCACGCUCGCUGCUCUCACACGCCACUAAGCCCUUAGGCUUGUGUACCCCUUAUGGCCCACCAGGCUUGUUCCCUAGUCCACUUUCAAUAUUCCAUGCUCAUAUUGAUCCGUCUAUAAUUUUAGGAUCAUAAAAUCUAGGGUAUCAUAGCCCCAUGUUGGCCCUUCGUUGGUUACACUCGCGGGAAGAAGAUGAAUAGUUAUAAGGAAUGACAAAACCGAAAACCUAAAAGAUUGGUGAGAGUAGUUUUGAAAGGAAAAAAAAUAUUUUGAUCCUAAUUUCAACAUUUCACAAGCGCUAUUUCGAAAGGUUGGAUUUCCAAAGGUUGGAUGGGAGUAGUAUCAGGCUUUGAUUUGGUUGAAAAGCUAUUUCAAAGUACUUAAAAAAUGUUCCAACAUCUCGAGAUUUUAGAGGCUGAAAGGACCUCCAAACGUGCCCUUAGUAUCUCGGGUGGGCCCGAAAGCCGAUGGCACCGGUGGAAGAGAGAGAGCCUUCUUGGGCCAGCCUCUCCUUCGGCCAUCGCUCCCCCCUGAAGAGAAAGGACUCGGGUCGCCUCGAGUAUCGCCAGUCCACUCUCUCCCGCACGAACAAACCAUCCCCCCGCCCGCCCCCGCCCCCGCCCCCGCCCCCCCAAAUCUCCCUCUCCGAGCGCCUCGCAAUCGAAGAAGAAGGAGAAACAGACAAGGAGUGGAGAAGAGAUUAUAGGGAUAGCGAAGGGGGAGGAGUCGUACGAGCUGCUGAAGCUGCUGAAGCAGGUUACCUGCCCCCUCCACGACCUCCUCGCCGACUUCCGCUCCUCCUUCCCUCCCUCCUUCCGCUCCCCUCUCUACACCUCCCUCUUCCUCCUCCUCGAGGUCUUAAUCCCCCGUCCUUUUCCUCCCUUCACCUCUCUUCCCCCGAUACAGCUGUUCCGUCGCUAGGGUUUUUCUUUUGGGGGGCGGGGCUUCUAGCCUUGGCGCGAGUGAUGCGCCGCUUCUUGUUGUUGGCUCGGGAACUCUGGUGUUCUGCUCCGCUUCGUGAAAUAGGGAUAGGAUGAUGGCUUGCGUUCCGAAAUGGAGAGAUCGCUCGCUUGUUCGAUCUUCGUUCUUUUGGUGUGGUUUCUGUGUAAUUUAGUGUGGAGUACGCGAAGGCGGUCGAUUUGGUUUUCGGCUGGCUUAUGCUGUUUAUCUUCAUCUCGAUUAGUCGCUCCGACCGGUGUGGAGUAUAUAGCUACCUUCUAUGCCGUCCUAAGAAAAGUUGAGAUAGACCUGGGCAAGACGAUUUUCCUUAUGGCCCACCGGGCUCGUUCCCUAUACCUAGCCCACUUUCAAUAUUCCAAGCCCAUAUUCCGAACUAGACAAGUUAGUUGCUGCCUCCUCAAUCUGAGGAUUCGAGCUGGACCCAUUCAGUCCAAUUCGUCUUCAGAAACUCUGGGAACCAGACCGGUAAUUCCCAAUUUUAAAGAUUUGAAAUAGCAAUUUGGAUUAAACAAAUUUGCAGAUUCAUUCUUCAACAAAGUAAUGGGAAGAGUACGGGCUGAUGACAAUCAUGGAAACUCUUCUGAGGGUAAUGAAUUGAACCGGAACUGCCGUUGCUUCGCAACUUUCGAGCCAAAAAUUGCAGCGACCCACUGCUCCUAUAAGAUCAAGUGAAAAAGAUCCCUCCUCCUUUUAGUUUCGUCCUUCCUGUCUUACACAUUUCUCUAGCAACGAUGACAAUCUUUAGAAUACUUCAAGCUAUACUGCUCAAAUCAGCAACACAGACAUACUGACGCCUCAUGCACUUUUUACCUUUCCCAAAUCUAUCCAUUUCAAUCUACAAGUAACAACCCACACCAUGCAGCCACAGGCCAAAGCAGAGCAUGAACUUUUUCUUCCGGAAGAUGCUUCUCCUCAAAGCACAGAUCUCGCAGACAAAACAUGGAACUGUGGAAGUAGGGCCCAGCCUCUCGGUUAAUAUUAAUACUCCGAGCCUUCAUUAGCAAUACGACCAUCCUCUGCCAUUUUCCCCAAGUCCAUCUCUUGGGUAGUCUGUUGAAACCCACUGCUUGAGCUGGAUGGAUGAAGGCCAUACUCACUUGUGAGGCCACUAUACUCGCUUGUGGCUUGUUCUUGGCUUUCCAAGGCCAUCAUCCUAAAUUUCUUUAAAUCCUCCUGGUAUUGACUGGUGUCAUCAUCUGAGCUUCCAUGAGGACUAUAUGCUAUGCUAUGUCCGGGCACAAUUCCUUCAUUUAAAUCGCUCAGAGAGAGGUAUCCUUCCAAUGCUCGAACAACCUGAUUACAUGAAGUUCAAAUCUCAUUCCACAAUAGUAGACCAUUUUGCAUUAACGGUCAUACUGGAAAGCGAGUUGUAGCAAACUGAGACACUGAAACUAAUUUUUUUUUCCAGCUCAAAUGAAACGAUAACCCAUGACUUGUAAAAGGAUCAAAACCACUAACUAGAGCAUAGAUUAUCUCUAUAAUACGAGGAAAAAAAGGAAACAUGCAUUCUCAUAUUAAAACAAAGGAUUUUUAACUAGCAAUGUACCUGUGUCAUUCGUGGACGGUGUCGUGCAGAAUGACAAACGCAAGCAGCAGCACACGCAAUCGUCCGAGUCAUUUCCUCGGUAGCGUAAUCCUUGUGCAAUUUUGGAUCAACAAUGGCAUCAAAUUUGCCAUCUUCUAGCCUUGCCUGAAAUUUCAUUAGAGUAGCCAAUUCUUUUACAACAUUCAAGGUGGAGAGACGGAAACAUGGAGGAGAAGGAUAAAUAAAUAAAGGGAGGGGGAGAGGGAGAUUAGAAGCUCAAAGUCCUAAAACUGGCUUUUCCCUAUCAGAUAAGAUCACUAAUAAUAACAGGCCUCAAGUAAAUAUAUUGUUGGUAAACUACUGACCCAAUCAACCAUGCUAUCUUCAACAAAGGGUCGAGUCUUGUCAAUUGGACGACGCCCGGUUAUCAACUCUAGAAGCACAACUCCAAAAGAAAAGACAUCCGAUUUGUCAGUGAGCUUCCCACUGGAGGCAUACUCCAGAGCCAAGUAGCUGCAUUAAUUAGACUUACCUUAGCAAAAGAUGACACAACCAAUGUAUGCUAAGAGGAAACAGGUGAACGGAACCAUCAUCUAUACCAAAUUAGACAAACUAUAUGUAUAAGGAAUAGGCUUACCUGAAAGUUCCCAUUACUCGAGUCGAUACAUGAGUAUCUGUAUCAAAAGCAAUCUUUGCAAGUCCAAAAUCUGCAACCUGGAAUCAAUAGUGCUGACUUUUAUAUUUCACAUCCAACUAGCUUCACACGACAAUAUUAAAUUAAGCAUUGUAGAGUUCAUCACAACUCCAAAAAUAGCUGCAAACGAAAAGUUGGUUCCCCUAAUGAUUUCAUCAAGAAAUCAACUUUUGCAGCCCUAAAAUCUUUUGCCGUUUCUCUAAUCUUCGGCUUAUACAGAGGAUGUAGGAGGGAUGCAAAUGCUUUUGAAAAAAUGAAGUAAAUCAAUAACUUAAUAACUAACUAUAUAAUGUGGUAGUGAAUUCAAUAAACAUCCUAGAUGACCGAUAUAUCAUGUAAUGAUUAAGCAAUCGCACAUCAUACCUUUGCCUCAAAAUUGAAGUCUAGAAGAAUAUUAGAACCCUUGAUGUCACGAUGAAUAAUUUUGGGAUUACCUGAGAAGUGAAUACAAUAAAGAUGAACCGUGAAACUUACGGUAGUAAAAAGGUAUAAAAGACUCUACUUACAGUCCUCAUGUAAAUAUGCCAACCCUCUUGUAGAACCUAAAGCAAUCUUCAUUCUUGUAGGCCAAGCCAUAGUUGGGCGAUCCUUCCCUGCAACAACAUUUGCUAGUUAUAACAAUUGUAAUGUUCUCAAUUAGCUUUUCAGCUCCAAAUAAUCAAACACCCUGUGUUGCCUAUGCACAGUGGUGAUCAAGCCAUUUGGUUAUUAUGGCAUCGCUACAAAAGUGUUAGCUGGCUGCAAUGUUAAGGUCUGUUGUCCAAUCCCCCACCCACCCCCUUUUCCAUGUUAAGAGAUUUUUGCUGCUAGAUAAACAGCAAUGAUAUAUAAAUUACCUCAUUCCAGAAUGAAGGGAGUUUAUAAACAGGUCUCACUAUUCCAACAGCACUCCAAAAAGGCAUUAACCAUACAAUAUCAAAGUUGUAUGGUAGCUAGAAUCCAUACAUAAGAAGAAAAGUUCAAGUGUGAUCUUUGAAAGAAGGUAACAGAGAGAGAGGGAGAGAGAGAGAGGCGACUGAUAUUAGAAACGGCAUCAUCAGAUGAAAGAAUACAUCUAAACCUCUGAAGGCAUACUCACCAUGCAAAUGAGAUUCCAGUGUGCCAUUUGGAACGAACUCAUAUACAAGAAUUCUCUGAGCACCAGAAAUGCAGUAACCAACAAGGGAAACAAGGUGUCUGUGAUGGAUGCAGCUGAUGAUGUCAACCUCCGCUUGAAAUUCUCUCUCUCCUUGUCCACUUCCAGCUUUUAACUGCUUGAUUGCAACUACUCUCCCACUCGAAAGCACUCCCUUACAAAACCACCUUGCCCGAGUAGGUUGACAUUGGAGAAACCAUCUGUUGCUAUUUUUAGCUCUUCAUACGUGAAUGUACUCUGCGAAAGACUUAAUGCCAUGCCGGGAGCUGGUAUUGAAGGUCUUGCUGAACCCAUAUCUGUUGUUGAGAACUGUUCAGAAGAAGUAACAUUAGGUUGAAAAGGCUGAGCUGGGCCAGCAGAAGGGUCAUCUGCAAGGAACAUUACGUAUUUUUAACCCGAUACCUUAUAUGCACUGAAAAAUCAUAACCCAAAAAGCUAUUGGCAUCAAAUUAUCCUCAAACACAUACAGAUAUUAGAGAGAAAAUGAUUAAGCAAUUGCAUCAAUAAAUUCAGAGAGAGACCCAAGUAGCACUCCCAAAAUUUACAGCAACCUUAAGACAAUUUGGUCGGAAUGAAAUCAUGGAAGCAUAUGAGCAAUUGCCACAAUCAACAUGCGAUUCACAACUCGGGGUCUCGAAAACAACAAGAGAUCCAAUUUUUCAGCCUCUAGCAAGAUCUUAGGGCCUGUUUGGUAACUAGCCAAAUAGUGCUAAUUUCUAUUCUUUUGUUCCCGGGAGAAGACUUGGAACAGAAAUGUGUUUGGUAAAAUUUUUGUUCCCGAAAACAAACAUCUAUUUUUUUGUUCUCAAAAGGUGAUUUGAAACAGAAUCAAGAAUAAAUAAAAAAUGAUUCUUAUUCCCGGGAACAAUUUUAGAAUCAAGCUUUUUAUUUUCUUUUUUCUUGUUCUUCUUCCCUUUUCUUCUUCUUCAUCUACUGCCACUACCGCGGUUGCCAUCCCCUGCACCACCGCCGAUUGCCGGCAACCGGUCCGGCGAGCUCGCCAGGCCAAGGCAAAGUCCGGCAAGUUUGCCGAAGGCAAGCCUAACCAUCGAUGAGGUCGAGCCUCGCCAGUGGCCAAGCGAGCCUCAUCCAGCUACCGGCAAGGCUCAGCCGACGAGGGCCGGCCUCGCUAAGGGCUGGCAACGCUUUGGUGAGAUUGCCAGCCCUUGUCUGGCCGGUCGCUAGUCAUCCCAACGUUGGCGACCAGCCACUUGAAUAAGAAAAAUAUGAGAAAGAAAGGGAAAAAAAAAAAGGAAUUAAGUAAUAAAAUUAUUUAAAAAGUAAAAGAAAAUGAUUUGGAUUAGAAAUUUUGAGCACGGUACUAAACGCAAUUCUAUUUUAGGAAUUGAAAUUUUGGACAGUUACCAAACGGUUUAAAAUGCUUUGAAAUUGUUUACAAUAACAGAAUAAAAAAGAAUCAUUUCUGAUCAGAAAAUGUUUUCGGGAACAGAAACGUUACCAAACGCGCCUUUGUGAGUUCAAAAACCCCAAUGACUAAUCCUCAUUUCAGAACCCAAGUUCAUUUUUGGCUAGCCGACUGACCAUAAAAUGAAGAACAAAUGACGAACUUCGAAAGCUCGCAUUCAAGGAUAAAAACUCACCUUUAGGCCUUUGUAUAGGGUCAUUGCCUAGCUCAAGCCUCCUCCUCUUCCUCCUCCAGUAGAAAAUCACCAAAAUGCUGACCCCAGCCAAUACAAUCAGGCCCCCAAUCCCAAUACCCACUAUCAGCCCCACCGGGAUGGAGAUGGUCGCCGGCAAGGCACUGGUGUGGAGAGCAGGAGCUGGAGCCGGCGAACCUUCUUUUAUCUGAAGAAAUGAUUCAUCGAAACAAGGAGCCGGCGGCGAGGACAUCAAGGCCAGGGAGCUCAUUGAGUCCGAGGUUGCCCCGGGGGUUUCCUUACCAUCUCUGUUGGCUAAGGAAAGUGGAAAUUACAAAAGUUUCUGAGGAAAACUUGGCGGGCUGUGUUUCUGAGCUAGAGCUGAAAAGCUAGUGGGAGAGAGAGAGGGGGGGGGGAGGAGGGGGUGAUAACCUCUGGUGGUAAGUAUUUAAAAAAGAGAAAAAGAAGUGGGUCCCGCGCUACAAUGAUGUAGCCUCGCCGGAGUUGAAUCUUAUUUUUUAUAAUAUUUUUCUGGUUUUAGUAAAACACCUAAACUUAGAAAAAUUAAGUUGAACGAAAGUUGUUUGUCUUUGUUUGGUUGGUGGCAUGCGUCAAGAGGAGGAACGCGCGUUCUCUAUUAAUAAUGUAAGGAGCGUUCCGAAAUAGGAGUUGAAUCUUAUUUUUUAUAAUAUUUUUCUGGUUUUAGUAAAACACCUAAACUUAGAAAAAUUAAGUUGAACGAAAGUUGUUUGUCUUUGUUUGGUUGGUGGCAUGCAUCAAGAGGAGGAACGCGCGUUCUCUAUUAAUAAUGUAAGGAGCGUUCCGAAAUAAGAAUAGUAAAAGUAUCAAAACUUGUGUAUAAUGCUCAAUUAAGCAUCAAAACUUUUUUUAACUCACUUAAGUAUCACAUUGGAGCAAAAUCAUUUACUUAAAUGCCACUUCCGAACAAACGUCCUAUACUGAUUUUUUAAUUUUUUUUUAAUCUUUUUCCUUUCUUUUUUAGGCCGAUGAGGAUCAUUAUCUACCCUCGCCGGGCAUGAAACCCUUUCUGGCUACCUCGCCCUCGACUACAAUGGCCCUAGGUGAAGCCAUCAAGGCCUCAUCAACUUUGGGUGACCUCGAGCAAGGGUCCUCAUGGCCUCACCCGUUGCUAGCAAGGCCCUGAGUUGUUGCCCAAAACCUUUGCAGCAAGAGCAAGGUGGUGAGAGCCCUCACCAGCCACCAGCAAGACCCCGACGGCCUUGCCCAAGGACUUUGCAGUUGAGGACGAGGAUUUUGCUGCCAGCAAGGGUUACCAGUGACCCUUACCAUCCCUAAAGAAGAAAAAAAGGAAAAAAAGUAAUAAUAAAAUUAAAAAACUAAUAAAAUAAUAUUUUCCGAUGGCCACAUUAGCCUUUCUGACGAUGCAAAUUAGAAAUGGUACUCAAGUGAGCAAAAAAAAAAAAUUAGUACUUGUAUUUGUUGACACAUAAAUUUUGACAAUCCGAUCAUUCAUUUAUUACAUAAGGAUUAAUUUUAACCCCUAAACAAAAAUAUUAGAAUUAAAUUACAUAACAUAUAAUUUUAUGAGCACUUUUUUAUUGCAUUUGCAUUAGACUAGUGAUAGAUGGGUUUGACUUGAUGGUUUUAAACUUUAAUUAGACGAGUUACAUUAAGCCUGUGGUGAGAGAAAAUUAGCCCAAGCCAGCUAUUCUCUUACGACCGAAAAUUGACUUAUGAAGAAUGACAAUUCGAUAUAUUCAGUAAAUAUUUCAUAUAUUCAUGCAAUAUACACACUAAGAGAUAUAUUUCACGGCAGAAUGGAAGAUUUCGAAAGAAAUAUCGAAAUAAUAAGAGGGAAUAUUGCACGUGAGAGGAAUAUAUUUGGUGAUACUCAAAAAGUAUCAACACAGGGAAAGAAAUGUGUAAGAAAUCUGCAUGCAAUUGAUCUACGAGGGAAACAAAAUAUAGGAAAGGAGAUGUAGCAUGCUUGUGCAAUAUUGGAGAGAGGAAAUAAAUUUUGUUUCUUUCCUUGCUGGGCCUCAUUAUUUUGUAUAUAAAAAGGGAGUCUCUCUUCUUGUCCAGUGGAUCAGCAAUUCUAUUCUAAAAGCACAUUGAGCGAUACACACCAAAAGAGAGGAAAGGGAGACGGUGGUUUUCUCUUCUUAGAUUGUCCCAUUGUGAGUUAGACAAAAAAUUGUGAAGUUCCUCUAGCAAUUGCACAUGAUCUUCACAUCAUGGCUUUUCCUCAUGCCAUUGUGCACCUUUUGCCAUUAAGCUCACUUAUUCCAAAGACCCAGCCCUGACGACCAACGAAGCACCAGCACUCACCAAUUUCCCAACGUGUCAGAGAUUAUCCUCACCAUGUCAUUGGUUUAGCCCCACCUUAAUUUUUUUUUGCUGCAGGUUUUCUUAAGUCAAAUUGUAGUCCAAUCUCGACGCUGCCUUCAACAUUUGUUCAGCAACUGCUGCGGUGAUUUAUUGCCAUCACAAGCGAAAUUCUUAGACGAUUACACAGCUUCUCAACAACCAGUAGCUUCCAACUACCAAAAGCAAUUGUGCUGAAAUUCCCAACCGUGAAGUCCUACAUGCUGAAUUGCAACUCGUACGAGCCGCUCGUGAUCCAUUGCGAGACAACCGGUUGUCCUUACCGUCCUUGACCAUUGUGUGAUCAUGUCACACCAAGCCGCCAACCCCCCCACUCACGGUGUAUAAGCAGUCAAUGAGUCCUCCUUGGCCGUGUACUGCUGCGCCAUCGAUACCCGCUAACACGUCGCUGCCGCUCGCCGCCAUUUGUCGCCAUUCAUGAUCGAGGAACCGGUCGUGCUUCUGGUCCGAUUGCAUUGCAAGCAAAGUUGGAAAGAAUAUCCUCGAAUUAGGUAAGAUGCACAUCUCUAGUAUAUAUGCAUAUAUUACUAUCUAAUAUAUGUCUAUUAAUAUCUAACAUGCAUAUCAAUGAGUGAUAGACAUAUCUCCCAAUUAGAGCUUAUUUCCUAAUUCGCAAUCGCAUAUUAUCAUUGAUUCCACCUAUAAGGUUUUAGGUGGAACUAUUGAUUGUGCAAGAAUCUUUAGAAUUGAAAUUGUGAUCUUUAAGGCUUAAGAUCAACUCAUCGGUUUUAUUCGCGAAAUUUCAAGUCGGUUGGAUAUUAUUUCCUUAUUCGCACUGAUUGGAUGAUAUACGAUCUUGAGUGAUUUUUUGCUUAUCUUACUUUAAUUGCUUUAUUUAUCCAAAAAAGAGAGAGAGAGAGAGAUUGUAUUUGCAUAUCAUAUAGAUUAGAAUUGAUUUCCUAGAUAGAAUUGCAUGAUAGAAUAGUUAGAUACCUUUCUAAUUAUAUUAGAAUGUAUGUUUAGAUGAUAUAUAGGUUAUAUCUUGGAAUUAAAUUGCAUAUCGAGAUAAAUUUCUAAGUUAAGAUAGGAUUCAGAUUAGUCUAUUUCCUAACUUAAAAUAGAUAAUAUCUCACUUUAGUUAGAUUUUUAUUAUUAGUAAUUUUUAAUUACGAAUUUUUAUUUAAAAAUACAAAAAUAUCUGCAUUUCAUAUAGAAUUAGGUUCAUGAAAUGCAUGUCAUUUAGUCAUUGUUGCUAGAUCCAUAUAAUUAGAAAUUGUCUGUCAUUAAAAUUAGACCAUUUAGUUUAAUUGCAUGACAUAUAGCUUAGAUUUCAUUAAACAAGAGAAAAUCCUAAAAAAUUGAGCGACUACAUGUUAAUUAGAAAUCAUAUGAUUGCGUGUUAAUUAGAAAUCAUAUGUAGGGUUGUUGAUGUAAAUGCUGACUUAACAUUGCAAAUGUUUUUGUUGCUAUAAGGUAAGUCUCAUAUAUUUUAUUUAUUGCUUUUUUUUGUGGGUGUUAAAUUGGUAAUUAUUACACUCACUUGAUCACCUCACAUGUUAAAGAAGUAAAUUAAAAUCAAUUCAAGAUGCCUGCAAAAUAUUUUUUCAAGAUAAAAGAGAAAGGUACCAAAAUGACGUUAGAAAAAUCUAGUGUAAUCAAGUCUUUGAAUUCAUAAUCUCCGAUUCACAGGAGUAAAGUAAAUUUCUCAUUACUUUACUUAGGUUUCUAAUCAACCCACCAAAAAUAGAUUAGUGGUGACUCCUAAUUAAAAAAUCAUUUGCAUGUUAAGAACUUGAACCUAAGUCGUGAAUUGGUAUGGGUUUGGAAAAGUUCGAGCUAAGUUUAAACUUAUGGCGCGUUUGGUAACGAUUCUAAUUUCGGGAAAAGAUUCUGAUCACAAAUGAUUUUUUUUUAUUCUGUUCCUGAGAACUAAUUCUAAGCAUUUUAAGCCGUUUGGUAACUGUCCAAAAAUUUUGAUUUUGGAAUAAAAUUGUGUUUGGUACUGUGCUCAUUGAUUAUGUUCCAAAUCAAUUUAUGUUAAUUUUUAAAUAAUUUUUAUACUUUUUCCCUUUUUUCCCUUUUUUUCUUUUUUUUUUCCUUUUUUUCUUUUCUUUUUUCUCCUAUUCUUCUUCUUCUUCUUCGGUCGGUCAAUAGUCCGGCGACCAGCCAAACGAGGGCCGGCGACCUCACCGGCGAGGCCGGCCUGGCCACCGGCAAGGCUCGGCUGCUAGCGAGGCCAGCCUAACCACUAGUGGGCAGGGCAUUGAGAGGCUUGCCCAGCCCUGGCGAGGCUCAGCCUCGCCAGAUCCAGCGAGGCCGAGCCUCCCCAGUGGCCAGGCUUGUCCCCGACGAGCUCGGCGAACCUCGCCCUGGCCUAGUGAGCCUCCGGCGAGCUUGCCGAACCGGUUGCCGGCGACCGGCGAACAGUAGACGGUGGCAGCGAUGGCGACGGACGACGACGAUGGCGGACGGCGGCGACGGCAAAUGGUGGCGAUAACGGAAGACGGUGGUGGAUGGGGGCGGACGGUGUCACGCGAUUGAAGAAGAAGAAGAAAAGAGAAGAAUAGUUAAGUUUGAUUAUUUUUUCUGAUUCUAGAACAAGAAUCAUAUUAUAUAUAUUUUAUUCUUGAUUCUACUCCCAAUCUAUUCCCGGGAACAAAAAUUUUACCAAAUGCGAUUAUGUUCCUAAACUGAUUCCGGGAACAAAGAAUCAAAAUUUGGCCCUAUUUGGAUGAUUACCAAACAGGGCCUUAGUAGUCCAUUAAUCAAACGCUAGGUGGUUCACCCAAAGUUGUUCUUAUUAGGGAUGAGCACAAUUUCCGAGUAGAACCGGGAACCGAACCUAACCUAGUGGGUCCGAUUCUCGACUCUAUGGAGGGAGGUUCUGGUUCUUGAUUUCUCUUUUUUUGAAACCGGCGAUUCCUGGUUCAGUUCUCGAUUCCUAUAGGAACCGAAACAAAAACUGGACCAAGAUUCAUAAGCCUAAAAUUAUUACGCCUUUUGCUUUUCUUUUUGCCUUUUACUUUUCUCUUGCCUUUUGCUUUUCUUUUUGCCUUUUACCAAUGCGUUUUGGUUCCUAUGGGAUUUCCAUCAUCGAACUCACGGAACAUGACGCUAAUGAACUCCAUCCAUUUGUUUAAUUGAAUCGUGUAGAUUUGUAGAUCAAUUUAGUGAGCUCUUUGUAAAGACAAACAAGAGAUGAAUUUGAGUUCCUUUUCCAUGAUUUGUUAUAUAAUUUAGUGAGAUACCCAUUGGGUUAAAGAGUAAAAUCCGUUUUGUCUUUCCAUUACUUUAUCAUUCUUCCCUAAGGAAGUAUUUUCUGAAUAAAAUAUUUUGAUAGUCUACAAGGACCUAGAUUCAUCGUUGUUCUCUUCCGUUUGCUUUUUUCAUGAUUAUGGCUGCAACCUACUUAUGGUUUCUCUUAAAAGACUAUGGGAUGAAUGAAAUAACCAUGAAAAACCCAUAAAUGAGUAAUUAUCCAAAUACUGGAAAAAAAUUGAAGUUGACAAUCAAUAAGGUUUCUAUAUAUUUCUUUUAAGAAGUUUUUAUGCCUCUGUUCAAUUAUUUUUAAGAAGCCAAACAUGUCUAGCUUGUUCAUUAUUGCUACAUUCACUAAAAAUGAAAUUAAAAAAAAAAAACUUGUUGGAUUCUGAAACCUGUAAUAGGGUAGAUUCUAAAUUUUGGAUUUCGAUAAGUAAGUUCUAGAUUCCAAAAAAUAAGAAACACAUAUCUAAUAAUAGGUUUCAAGUUCCAAGUGGAACCUAUAAUCUAAAAAUUUUCACUCCUAGUUCUUACCGCAAGCAUUUCCACCUCUCAAAAAAUAAAAUCCAACAAAUUUGGAGAGAGUUCGAAUUCAUGAUUUCCAUCUUACCCAUAAUUGCAACAAGAAUGUUUUUUUAUGAAUGUUAACAUUGUCGUGCGCAUAUGUGAUAUCAACAACUUGGUAAUAAAAUAAAAAUAAAAAAUGGAGUUACACAUAAAAUUUUAAUUAAAGGCCUUGUUUCUUUAAAAAUAAAUAAAUAAAUUAUAUUUAUUUUAUCUAAAAUUAAUUGGGUAAUAAAAAUAGUUUUCAUUAUCGAUAACAUUUUAUAUCUAAAUAUUUUUAUGAAUGAUGAAAUAUUUUUAUUAUUUUUAUAGAGGAUAUAAGUGAUUAUUUUUAAAAAGAAAAUUAAAUAAUUUAUGUUUUGCGAAAUAGAGGGGACCGAAAUGUGGGACAAAAGAGAUGGACAAUUGACACCCUCACAAAGAAAACGGCGGCGUUUUCAUGUCGAAGAUUCCAUCACGUUGAAUGUCGUGAAAGCCUUGUCGGGAAGAGGAAAAGGUCGGGGCAGGGGAUGGGCAUGGACCACGUCCACGUGGAGGCGCGUACUUCGGUCUCUGACAAGACAGCGCGUCCGAUUUGGAUCCCAGUGCGCCGACUUACACCAUUCUUCUAUCACGUGGAAAGUGUCUAAAUAAAAAGAGACCACAUCAUUCAGUUAAUCAGGAUUAUCUUAAUUAAAUUAUGUUUACCUUCUAGUAUGCAGCGGAUGCCAAGAACAAUUCUAGCCAAAGCACAUGGAUUGAUUCAACUGAUGAUAUUAAUCGAUGAAAAAUGUCUUUAUUAUCGAAAAUAAUUUAUAUCUAAAUAUUUUCGUGAACGACAAAAAUAUUUUCCAUUCAUUUAUGUUUGUAGAUAUUAUAUAUAAGUGAUGGCGGAUUGGUGCUGGGCUGUCCGACGACACCGAAGUGGGAGGCAGCAGUGAGGACGUCAUCAGGGGCCGAGGAGCUCGAUGAGUCCAAGGUUGCCCCAAGGUUUCCUUAAUUUCUCUGUUGGCUAAGGAAAGUGGAAAUUACAAAAGUUUCUGGGGAAAACUUGACAGGUUGUGUUUGGUGUAAAUAAUAUAUAUAAGCAAUAAUUUUCAGUAAAAUAUUUUUUGAAUAAUUUAUUUUUCAUGAAACAAAUAAUAUUUUAAUAUAGAGCCAAAAAGAAUGCUAAACAGUUUAAAAAAAAAACUAACACGAGCAUGGGUCAAUGUUGUAAUCAAUUCACUAAGUAGUCGGUCGGUAUCUAAACCACCUAGCUUCUUCGUCAAACUCAUGCCCCACUCAAAUAAGGAAUAAAUCUCAUUUGGCAAUCUCAUCCUUCAUUGUAAAUUGCAAAGGGUGCUUUACCAUCUCGCAUCCCAAAAGUUUAUAACAAGCUCAAAACGUGAAGGAUGGCAAUGAGCAAGGCUCUUCCUCCUCUUCCCGUAUCGUCAUCCUCAUCUGGUGCUCCAUGUUGGUCAUGACCUUCAGCUCCCUCCCUCGAAGCUCCGCCGUUCCGUGGGUUCCAGUCUGACGGCUUUCUUUUUCUUCACACGCGCGGCUAACCAACCCUACAGCAGCUCUCCUUUAGGAGCCCCCGCACGAAGAAAAAAGAAGAAGCCGGCGAGACCAGAGUUCCGGUUAGCUUCCGCGUUAAUAUUACAUCAGCUACAACAGAGGCAAUGAGGAUGACGGUAGAGGCCACGACACAGGCAUAUCCAAUGGGAUUGAAGGCCACGAUGAAGACGACAGCAUAGUCGACGGGAUCAAAGGCGACAAUGGAGACGACAGCAGAUGGAGGGUCGAAAAUUGGACGAGCCGGCAAGAAAGUUAUGGUUCCUUUUUCUAUGUUCGUCAACGUGCUUAGCAUUUUACUUCGAUUAUUUUGGUUUUGAAGCAUAUUCAGUUAUGUGUUUCAGGUCAGCUUUAUGAUUCAAAAACCAAACUGAAACAUCAGAAAUCCAUUGUUUUAUUUACGUCCCAAAACCUAAGAAAAUUCGACCCGAAAUUUUUUAUUCGGACAGUUGGUUUCUUUUAUAUCCCUAGAUCUCGGCUUCUUUUAUUCCCCCGUGAUAUCUGUAAUCAAUAUUUUUUAUUAAAAAAAAGGCGUUCUUUUGUUAAGUAAGAUUAAAUUAAUAGUGUCUUGCGGGUGCGUGGUAAACGUGGCCUGAGGUUGAACGGGAUGAAAUUGAUGUGAGAGCACUUGGUGGGUUCACUCUUUCAGCCGGCUCUUGCGCACUUAGCGGGGUUCACUCUUUAAGUACGAUGUUGUUGUUGCUGUUGUUUAUGGAGCGUAUUGACUGGCCAUCUCGUGGUCCGGAGAGAGAGAGGGAGAGGAAAAGCGCAUCGAGGAAUUCAAGGUAAAAUGGCACGACUGCUUUUGUCCCCCCCCCCCCCCCCCCCCAAAAAAAUAAAAAAAAAAGAAUUUUGUGCUUUCUCUUGAUUUUCAUGACCCAUCACCUGCUCGCACGAGGCCCAUGGAGUCACGCCAUAUGCAUCGAGGAAAAGAUUUUUCUUACUGAAUAACAAAAAAUAUUUUACAAUUCAUUUUCAAAUUUCAAUCAAAUAGCAAAAAAUAUGAUUAUUUUAAAAUGACUUUCUAAAACACAUUUUGCAAAAAUGCUAUAUUUUCCUUAAAAUAAACGAAGCCUGAAAGAUUUAGAGCAAACGUCAAAUCAUAGAGCACAGGUUAUCACCUCCCCAAGGACUCUCUCUCUCUCUCAGUCUCGGCUCGAGGAAAUUAUUGGCUAGCAUUCGUUUUGUUCCAUUAAUUUUUGUUGUCUUUUCUGAUUUUUCGUCGAGCUAUUUAAGCCACGGGAAAUACAUAUGAUUUUUCUUUCUUUAUGUAUUCUAAGAUCAUACAAGUCUAUUAGAAUACAAUUUCAAAGUUUGGAGAUUGAUAAGGGAAUAAUUUUUUUUUUUGUCUUUUUUUAGUUCGUUGGUGUGAUUGAAAUAAAAAUGGGAGUUUAUUUUUUCUUCUUCAUCAACAAGAAUAGUUUCAUUUAGCACUCUGAAGUUGCGAGCAACUUGAGAUUUUUUUUUUGUUUUAUGUUUUCUGUAAUUUAUUCAUUAAUUUCUUUUAUUUCCAUUGAGAGAAGAAAUUGAAAGAGAGUAAUGGGAGUAGAGUAGAGUAGUGCAAAGUAAUAGCAAAAGUCAGAUGCGGCAGCCUCAAGUAGCCAAUGUCUUUUUCACCAGGGGGGAUCCUUCUUGAUAUCUUACUAGACCAGACAAGGAAGUCAUCCAAGGUCUCUCUCUCUCUCUCUCUCUCUCUCUCUCUCUCUCUCUUUCUCUAUUAUUGGCUAGCGUUUGUUUUCUUCCAUUAAUUUUUGCUAUUCUUUUCUGAUUUUUUGUCGAGUUAUUCAAGCCAAGGGAAAUACAUAUGAUUUUUCUUUCUUUAUGUAAAUUCCGAGAUCAUACAAGUCUACUAGAAUACAAUUUCUGAGUUGAGAGAUUGAGAAGGGAAGAUGCUGUGUUUUUUUGUCUUCUCUGAAUUCAUUGGCGCGACUGAAAUAAAAAAGGUGAGGGGAGUUUAUUUCUUCUUCUUCAUCAAUAAGAAUAGUUUCAUUUGGCACUCUGAAGUUGUGACCAACUUGAGAUUUUUUGUUUUAUGUUUUCUAUGCUUCGUUCAUUUAUUUUUUUCAUUUCCAUUGAGAGAAUAAAUUGAAAGAGAACAGCGGGAGAAGAGUAGAGUAGUGCAAAGUAAUAGCAAAAGCCAAACAUGGCAGCCUCAAGUAGCCAAUGUCUUUUUCACCGAGGGAGAUCCUUCUUGAUAUCCUACUAGACUAGACAAGCAAGUCAUCCAAGGUUUUCAACAAAAUAUGUGGUGCAAAUUGCAUCGUCUCUCUCUCUCUCUCUCUCUCUCUCUCUCUCUCUCUCUCUCUCUCUCUCUCUCUCUCUCUCUCUCUCUCGGCUCGAGGAAAUUAUUGACUAGCGUUCAUUUUCUUCCAUUAAUUUUUGUUGUCUUUUCUGAUUUUUUGGUCGAGCUAUUCAAGCUAGGGGAAAUACAUAUGAUUUUUCUUUCUUUGUGUAAAUUAUGAGAUCAUACAAGUCUAUUAAAAUACAAUUUCAGAGUUUGGAGAUUGAGCAGGGAAGAAGUUUUGUUUUUUUUUUUUUUUUGUCUUUUCUUAGUUCAUUGGUGUGAUUGAAAUAAAUAAAUAAAAAGGCGAGGGGAGUUUAUUUUUUGUUUUAUAUUUCAUUUGGCACUUUGAAGUUGCGACCAACUUGAGAUUUUUUGUUUUAUGUUUUCUAUGCUUCGUUCAUUUAUUUCUUUCAUUUCCAUUGACGAAGAAAUUGAAAGAGAGUAGCGAGAGCAAAGCAAAGCAGUACAAAAUAAUAACAAAAGCCAAUGUCUUUUUCACUGAGAGGGAUCCUUAUUGAUAUCCUACUGGACCAGACAAGCAAGUCAUCCAAAGUCCCCAACAAAAUAUGUGGUGUGGAUUGCGCCGUCAUUCUUUCAUUUAAUUAGGUAUUUCGAGUUAACUUUGCGAUUGAACUGUGUUGGAGAAAUCUUCGUGAAGUGUUUUGAAGUUGACAAAACGUUUCCAUCAGUCUAGUCUGAAGGUCUGCAGACUCUGUUAGUUAAAGUCUGAAGACUUCCGGACAGCCAGACUCAAGACUCAAAGUCUAUCCUCAUUGACAGUCUCUAAUCCGUUGAAAAAAGGUUAUCCAGAACUGGAUGUUUUGUUCAGGAUUUAACCUUAUCAUCUGGAGAAGAUCUCGUGGUUGGAGAAGACGUAUAAGAAUCCUUUGAUUGAUCAAGAUUGAUUCAAUGACUGAAGAUUCGAUGAUUGUCUAAAUAUUAUUGGAAGGUUCUACUUAUGGAAACCGAGAUCCUGAUUGUAUGGGCGAACAGGAUUGAUGGGCUAUCAACACGUUCCUUUAAUAACUCGAACAAUCUUCCUAAUUGAUUCCGUCCAACGGGUAGAUUGGAGGAAUUCCUUUGGUAAGUGCCAACGGGUAUGAUGGCAUAAAGGAGUAUAUAAGGAAGAUGUUCUUAGUUGUUCGAGGUGUGCGCGAUAGAAGAAUUCCAAAGUCUGAAGCUCCUAUUUGUUUAGAUAAAUCCUUUGAGCGAAUACUUGUAUACAAAAGAGAGUCUAUGUUUGUGAGAGACCUUGAGGAGGUGUGGUAAAACAUCUACACUGUGGAAUCAAGGCAAAGCUGUGCUGUAACUUCUCUUUUGAUCAUAGUGAAAUCCAGCCGGUGGGCUGUCAGUGCGGAAGAGUGGACGUAGGCUUGGAAUAAGCCGAACCACUAUAAAUCCUGUGUUCAAUUUUCUCUUCCUCACUCUCUCUACCUCAAUCGUAUUUCAUUUUGUUAAUUAAGAGAGAAUUUACUUUCUAUCAUAUGUUAAGAAUCGCUUCCGUAUAUCGAUAAAUUGUUUAGGCACCUAUUCACCCCCCUCUAGGUACUCAUACUAGCAAUAUCAAUUGGUAUCAGAGCCUGUGUACUUACUUUAUUUGAAGUGUUUUACUUCAUAGUAAAAGAUCCAUGGCUAGUAUGCUAGCACCAGGGCUGAUGGAAAGGCAAAGCAAUACCAGACCACCCUACUUUGAUGGAAAGGAUUACAACAUCUGGAAGAACAAGAUGAAAGUUUUCCUACGAUCAAAGGAUCCUUUGGAAUGGGAUGUUGUAGAAAAAGGAAUUACUCCUACCACUGCAUCAGUCUCUGAAAGAGGAAAAGAAACUGAAGAAACCAGCGGAAUGUCUCAGGAAGAAAUAAUCAAGAGACAAACACUCGAUGCAAAAGCAAUUUACUCCUUAUAUUGUGCUUUAUCACCAACUUAAUAUAAUAGAAUAUCUUCUUGUGGUACAACAAAAGAAGUUUGGGACAGAUUGCAUAUCACCUAUGAAGGAACAGAUCGAGUGAAGGAAACUAGAAUCAACAUUCUUCUCGGUCAAUACGAAGCCUUCAGAAUGAAACCAGGAGAAUCAAUAUCUGACAUGUUUAGUCGUUUUACAGAUAUUGUGAAUGGUCUUGAAAAUCAAGGUCAACCAACUUCUGAUCCCAUGAAGGUAAACAAGCUACUGCGUAGACUCUCCAGGGAUUGGAAUCACAUAAAGACUUCGAUAAGAGAGACGCAGAGAAUCAUGCCACUAUCUGUCAACGAGCUGAUUGGAACUCUUCAGUCCUAUGAAGUGGAAAGGAUCAAUGAAGAUGAAGAUCCAAAAGGUAAGAAAUCCAUUGCAUUAAAAUCAAAUGAUGAUUCUGAUGAUACAGAUUCUGAAGAUGAUAUGGACGAUGAGGAGCUUGCUCUCAUGAUAAGAAGAUUCAGAAAACUAAAUAGAAAAGGAAGAAGGUUCAACUCAAAGAAACAAAGCUUUCAAAGACAGCAGACCAAGUCUGUUGAUGAUGAGGAACCAAAUAAAGAUGUAGUCUGCUUUGAAUGCAAGAAAAAGGGACACAUCAGACCCAACUGUCCUCUUCUGAAGAAGAAGAGAGGAAAAGCUGAAAAAUUUCGAAAAGCUCUCAAAGCCGAAACCUGGAGUGAUACUGAGUGUGAAGAAAGUGAUAAUGAAUAUGCCAAUCUAUGUCUGAUGGCACAAUCAGACUCAGACUCUGGAUCAAACUCAGGAUCAGACUCAGACAGUGAAUUUGAGGCAAGUGAUUUUAAAAUUCCUGUCAAAGUUUCUAAAUAUAUUGAUGAACUAUGUUUUAGUCUUAAGACUUCUCUCAAAAGAAUUUCCGAACUGAAAAAAGAAAACUCAGCUCUAAAACAAAAGGGAAAUGUUUUAGCAGAAAGAGUUAAAAGUCUAGACUUGUCUGUUUCCAAUCUUAAAGAAAAUGAAGAUAAUCUUUUAAAAGAAAAUGCUUUUUUAAAAACAGACUUAUCAAAUAUAUCAAAGAAAUUUUCUAUAGGGUCUGAAAAACUUGAGAAAAUUCUUUCAGCUCAAAGACCUUACUUCAAUAAGUCUGGUCUAGGUAUGACAGAAGAAACAAUCCCCUUGAUUGAUUUUCCUAAAGUAAAAGAAAGAAUUAAGAAAAGGCUUUCGAGUGAGGUUUACAAAAAUCACUUCAAGAAAGUUUUUGUAAAACCUGUAGGUAGAAAUGCUCUCAGAUGUUCUAAGUGCAACAGUCCGGAUCACUUUGAAAAAGAGUGUCCUAUGGUAUGGAAACCUGUUAAGAAAGUAUGGGCUAAUACUGUUUAUCUUACUAACACCAAAGGACCAAAGAAAAUUUGGGUACCAAAGAAAGCUUGAGACUUUAUUUUAAAUGCAGGUCUCUGUCAAGAAACAGAUAAAGUGGUAUCUUGACAGCGGAUGCUCAAGACACAUGACAGGAGACUCAAAUUGCUUUAUAAAGAUUGCUCAAGUAAAUGGUGGAAAAGUUUCAUUUAGAGGAAACAGCAAAGGAAGUAUUGUGGGAUUUGGAACCGUGAAAAUUGGAACUCUCACAAUAAGUAAUGUUUCCUUAGUGGAAGGACUCAAUUACAAUCUUCUCAGCAUUAGUCAAUUGUGUGAUACUGGUUUCAAGAUCUUCUUUCAAGAAGGAACAUGUUCUGGAAUCAGUAAAGACUCUACUCAGUCUUUCAUGGGUCGAAGACAUGGAAAUAUCUAUCUUCUGGAUGUGAAACCAAAUGAAUCGCAAUACCUUAUCUCAAUUCAAGACGAAGCAAGCUUAUGGCACAAAAAGCUUGGUCAUGUCAACAUGAAGCAAUUAGCCAAAAUUUCUUCAAAACAGCUUAUUCGAGGACUACCCAGAUUGCCAUACCAAAAGACUGAUUCAUGCACUCCAUGUAUUCUGGGAAAGCAGGUAAGAAAUUCUUUUAAGCCAAUUAAUUAUGUCUCUACUAAUCAUGUACUACAGUUGCUGCAUAUGGAUCUCUUCGGACCAACCAGAACUCAAAGUAUUGGGGGUAAGAAGUAUUGCCUAGUAAUUGUUGAUGAUUACUCCCGUUUUACUUGGGUAUAUUUCCUUGCAAGUAAGUCCGAAACCUUUUCGUAUUUUGAAAAAUUUGCUAAAUUGGUUCAAAAUGAAAAAGGAUGUGUUAUCUCUAGUAUAAGAACAGAUCAUGGAGGUGAAUUUGAAAAUCAAGAUUUUACAAAAUUCUGUGAUGAAUCUGGCUGUAAGCAUGUGUUUUCCUCUCCAUAUACUCCUCAGCAAAAUGGAGUUGUGGAAAGAAAGAACAGAUCUCUUCAAGAAAUGGCUAGAACUCUUUUAAUUGAAAGUAAAAUUUCUUCUCGAUUUUGGGCUGAAGCUGUUUCAACAGCUUGCUAUAUCAUCAAUAGAGUCUUCUUAAGAUCUAUUCUUCAGAAAACCCCUUAUGAGUUAUUCAAAGAAAAGAAGCCUAUUGUUUCAUACUUUCAUGUAUUUGGUUGCAAAUGUUUUAUACUGAAAAAUGCAAAAGAUCGAGUUGGUAAGUUUGAAGAAAGAUCAAAUGAAGGUAUCUUCCUUGGAUAUUCUACAUCAAGCAAAGCCUUCAGAGUCUAUAACAAGAAGAGCCAGUCUGUGGAGGAGUCAAUGAAUGUCAAAUUUCAAGACUCAACACAAGAUGAAUCAAGUCAGACUCAUCAAGAAGAGUCUGAACCUGCUCCAGAUCUUCCAAAGCUUACAACUCAAGAAGCAUCUCAGACUCUGGAAAACCAGAAUAAGGAUGUUCGUGAAGAUUCAAUCAAAGAGAGAGAUCAUCAAUCAGACAAAUCAACAAGUAACUGGAAGCAUAAGUCCAGUCAUCCCAAAGAUCUUAUAAUCGGCGAAAUAAAUGAAGGAAUUCGCACCAGAUCCAAAAGGCGAUAAGAGUCUAGUGCUGUGGCACUCGUUUCUGAAAUUGAACCAAAGAGCAUAGAAGAAGCUUUAUCUGAUGAAAGCUGGAUUGAAGCUAUGCAAGAAGAGCUCAGACAGUUCAGCAUAAAUGAUGUUUGGGAAUUGACGUCCAAACCAAAAGGUAAAACUGUUAUUGGAGCUAAAUGGGUUUUCAGAAACAAGAUGAACGAGAAAGGAAAAGUCGUACGAAAUAAAGCAAGACUCGUGGCCAAGGGAUAUACGCAAGAAGAAGGAAUAGACUAUGAUGAGACUUACGCUCCAGUGGCAAGGUUAGAAGCUAUUCGACUAUUACUUGCGUUUGCUUGUUAUAAGAAUUUUAGGUUAUUCCAAAUGGACGUCAAAAGCGCCUUCCUAAAUGGAUUUAUCCAUGAGGAAGUUUAUGUGGAACAACCACUAGGGUUUGAAGACCCAAAGAAGCCAAACUCAGUCUUCAGACUGAAAAAUGCUUUGUAUNNNNNNNNNNNNNNNNNNNNNNNNNNNNNNNNNNNNNNNNNNNNNNNNNNNNNNNNNNNNNNNNNNNNNNNNNNNNNNNNNNNNNNNNNNNNNNNNNNNNGGUCUAAUCAUUAGAUCAAUAACAAAUCUGCUUCAUGCGUACAAAUCUGGGCAUGCGCAUGGACGGAUGAUGCUCAUUCCAUGUACUAUAAUAUCAUGGACCGGGGAGAUAUAAGAUCUUGUGCAAAUAGAACCAAUCGCACUGUAUUAAAGCCACGUUCCAUCAGGGAAUGGAGAAAGUAACGACAAGUUACAGAACGAUGUCAUUGGACAAAAUAAAGUAAGUUAUGGGACCUACUUGCACAUAAAAAAGUUGAAGGAAGAAAUUGAUAGCAGUUCUCAAUCAAUCACAUUCUAUCACAGAGACAAUAACAACUUGUGGGUGUCCAAUUCUGCCAAAAUUAACAUGUUUGUUGCCUUGAGGUCUCUGGAUGAUGGGCGGCUUCCAGCCAGUAUGUGGACAAUCCAAACCUGCAAUAUUUGCGAAAUCUCCUUUAACUAUGCAGAUAAUUGCUUGCUAUAUUUGAAUGAUCUGGAUCGCUGCGUCUCUUCUUUAGAUUCCCCAAAAGUUACCAAUGAGUACUGCAUCACAACUUUUGAAGUUCGCCAAGCAGACUUUCAAGGUAAAUCUCCCUAAGAUAACGGCUUUACGAUCUGUCUAUCAUGCUUAUGGCUGCAAUUCUUGUCUGUCUAUUCUCUCGCUUUCUUGUAGGAUCACUUUGUGACUUGCCAGAACUUACAAGGAAAACAUGGUUUCAAGGGACACAGUGGGCUCUCGCGAAGGUAAAAACAGACAAGUUGCCACCUUGUCUUUCUU
rnacentral:lncRNA from 1 species